rnacentral:lncRNA from 1 species
UUCAUUAAAAAAAAAUUACAUAGAGGGAGAGUCAAGCUCAAGUGCGGACGACUCACACUUCUUUAGUGUUGUAAAAACAGACGCCUGCUUUAAGCAGCAGCGCGAUUUUAUACAUACAUAUAUAUAUAUAUGGUGAAGUUUCACAGCUUACCGGUAAGGCCGUUGUAGGGCAGUUCAAGAGUUUGGAGCAUUGAAAGGGCAGUAAUUUCAGAUGGAAUGCGCCCAGAGAGAACAUAAUUUGUACGAAUUUUGAAAUUUCUGAGGUUCGGAAAGCAAGAGAAUUUGAAACAACCGAGCUCUCCUUUGAUGUUAUCAUUUUCAUACCAGAGUAAGCUGACCCCGAUUACGCUUCCCGCUGAAUUGCAACUGACGCCAGUCCACUUACAAUGAUCGGACGUGUAGUUGCCCGACGUCGCCCAAUUGUUGACCCACCAGCCGGUAGCAAGUAAAGCUUCCCUUUCUAACAGUAUGGGUGACGACAAUAAUCUUGCAGCUGAUGCCGUUACAGAUAUUGUCGUAUCACUUAUAGCACCAACAUUUAUUAAAAUUAAAAUGACCACCAAUCUCGAAACAGUGGAUGCUGCUGCCAUGUUUAUAAUGGUUUUCGGUUGAUUGAGCUGGCUAUUUGAUUCCUUGCAAAGCGUUUAUAUAAGAAUUAAUUGUUUUGCAAGCUCCCGGUGUUAACUUCCAAUACGCGUUUUCAAAUAGUGUGAGUCAAUGUCUUCUCUGGAUGGAUUCAAUCAUGGAGAUAUAACCUUAUCGGCUUGUAUUUGUGAGGUGUAGAUCUAUUUGAACAACUUUGCAGAAACAUGAGAUAAUAUGGACAAUAUUAGAAAUAAUCAAUAGCGCUAUUAAGAUAUUAAAUAUUACCCAAAAUAAUAAAGAAAAAAAAAAGCUCGAAGGAUUGUUGUUGUAAAAUAUGACUCAAAUAGAAAAAUAAACAAGACUAAUCAUAUCUUUGUAUAAAUUUAAGUAUAAAAAAAACUUGUAGGUGUAUUAUUAUAAUAAGCUGUAGAGAAAAGAAUUUGUAGACUUCUGUGAUUUGACAAAAUAAUAAAAUAAUCCCUUUAUUUUUUAAAAUAGUUACAAAACUCCUUUUGCAACAUGCAAACUAUAUGGAAAAUUGGAAAUUCAUGGGCUACCUAAUAUCCCUCUUAUUUUUUUAUUUUUUAUUUUACACCAAAACAUCAUAGACAAAAGAAGAUAAAAAUUUCAUUGCACUCAAUUUUUUUCAUGAAAUCAAACAAGGAAAAGAAGCAAAAAGUGUUGGAAAUAUAGCACAAGUUACUAUUUGAUGCGUGAUUUUGAGUGAGACUUAUCUGUUGUUUCAAAUAUUCCUCCGUAAAUACUUCAGAAUGAUUUUACCUAUAUAAUCAAAAUAACCCUUGGAUAAAUGAGAAAUUGUUACUCAAAGUAAAUUCAUGGAAUUGGAAAAGUAAAGGAAAUUAUAUUUGUCCCACAUGAAAAAGAUAGCAAAGGCAUGAAAGGUUUGUAUAUAAUUACUCAUGUGUGUAUAAGUAAAAUAUAAACCAAGACGCUCUCUCUUCCGUGCCCCAUCCUAAGUACACAAAUUCAAUGUGAUACGAUCCUAUAGUUUCCGUUCAAACCUAUGCACACUUUAAAAAAAGGUUUUUUUUAAUAUAUUUUUUAUGUAUUUUACAUUUUUUUUAAAAUUUAAUAAAUGCCAUAUUAUUUAAAUAUUUAAUUUUAAGGCAUCUUUUUUAAGUUGAGGGCAAGGAACCCCUCCGAUACGUAAUGCCGAAACAUGCUAAUCUAAUCACCUUGACUUUAAAGACUGCUUCCCCUAGUCAGCAAUUAUUUGGAACUUACGUCUUGACAUGUGCUGUGGAAAAUAAAGAAUGAAGUAGACUUAUUGAGUCAAGCUGUUUCUUCAAUCCAGAUAUUUAGUUUAUACGUGUGCAAAUAUUCAAUGCCUAACUUUAUUCUGCACAAAGCCUAAUGUCCUAUUUGGGAUAACGGUUGAAAUACUUAUAAGUUUUGAUAAAAAUGAUGUUUGAUAAAUUUGUUAAAAGUUUAAUUCAUAUUUUCUCCAUUUUGACAAUAACUCUUAAAAUAAGUAUGAGAUUGUCUUUUAUAAGCAACUUAUUAAAUAAAAUGCCAUUUUUUUAAAGUUUCUAUUAUAACUUUAAUAUUUUAAGAAAAGAAUAAGUGUAUCUUAUUUUUUAAAAAAUCCUAAUAUAUAAGUAAAAGACAAUUUAAACUUAUGUUUAUUUUAAUGAUUAUAUAAUAAAAUAUUAUUUUCGUAAUCAAAUUUACCAAACACUGAGUGAGCUACUUUUAUAAUCAUUAGAUAAUUCCAUUCACAUCGCAGAAGCAGCUUAUUUCAACAGCCACCAAAAUCUUAAACUGAUCCUAAGUCAUGUUCGGAAUUGCAUGGGAUUGUCAAAUAAUUAACAAAAGAAGCUAUUAUGUAGGAGAAUAGGAACAGGUUCACCUGGAGCAAUAUACUCAUAAGCUUGGCUACUAAUAAACGGAGCGUGUAAGGAUAAACACCUAAGUUUUGAGAGAUACAUGUAUCUGGAGGGCAAAUUCUUUUUCUCCCACCGGCUUCAAGGACCUAUACAGUAACUCCUAAAUCAAAGGGAGAAAAUGGUUAAUCCAAUGUGGUUGUGUAUGAAUUGAUAUUCACCGUAUGAUUAUUACAUAAAGAUUGAACCUUUGUACGUGCUUUAUAUUAAGUAAAACUGCACACUUGUUCUACACAUUUAGACAACCCAGAUUAAGAAUUAUGAAAAUGAAAUCUACAACUAGCUAGGUGCACUAUUAUUUAUCUUUGCUCCUUAAAUAUUAGAAAGAUAGAGGAGAGGGAGAAAAAGAAAAGACUAAUUUUGUAGUCCAAAUUUAAUCUUAUGCUCUGAUUUUGAAGCAAAUCAGCAGAGUAUUUGAGGAACCAAUCAUGAACCAUGUCCAUUUCAAUCUUUCGCUGCAUUACUAACCAUUCGGGGUCAUCUUCUGUUGCUGGCUGUAUGUCUAAGCAAUGGGAACCUGCUCCAAUUUACACACUAUUAAUUAUGUUAUCCAAUAAUUUAGUUAAUAAUUGAACACUAAUUUUUUAUUUUAUAGAAAAAGUUACAUACUGUUUUUUGUUGUCACUGCUAUUAUAUUGUUUGAUAUAUUUUCCAGAACCCUAUAAUCCCAAACAAAGAAAGAAAAAGAAAAAGGUAUAUAAUAAAACGGGUAACUUCAAUAGAAAAGAAUAUCCAAAAUUCUUAAGCUAAAUUACCCAGCGCUGCUACAGGGAUCGCGGUGGCCAUUAGAGAAAACAAUGUUGCUACCAAAUCUCUUUAAAACCACUCUUAUAUCCUGCAAAUUAAAAAGAAAUAAAAAUCAAACUCAAGAACGAGGUGAAGUUUUUAAUUUAAAAAAGGAAAGAAAAAGAGAAAAUUAAAAGAAUUAAUUUGGGGAUUAAUUGACACUUACAUGACCACCAUAAUAAGUUGUAAUCCAAUGUGGUCUUGGAACCACUCCAAAAGACUUAUUGCAUGAAUCCAUAUAUUCUGUCAGAUAAAAUGGGUAUGCUUGAAACAUUGUUUCCUUUUGGCCAAUUCCAAUUGGUGAGACCAUUUCACUGCAUGUCUACAUGAGAAACCCCCUAUAUUAAUAAUAAUAAUAAUAAGAUAAAGAAGAAAAAUAUUUUUAAUCAUUCAUAAAUAUAUAGUGUUAGAGUGCAAUUUAUGCACUAGUUUUGCAUUGUUUACUUCCCUUAAUAUCGAUGUUUUGCACUUAAUAAUAGUGAUUUACUUGUGUUUUACUUUUGUGGGUGCAGUUCUAUUGAUUUGUGAUAAAAUUGAGCUAUAAGAUGUUGUUUAAAGAUGAUUGUUCUCUUGGAGAAAUUUAGAGCGUCAGAAGAACUUUGUUGAUAAGGCGUGGGCGCGUGCUGUCAACUGCGGGCCUGCAGUUUUUAGUUUAACAUGUUUUGUAUUUUUGGUUAUUUUGUAAUUACGAAUUUAAUAUUUCAGUUAUUAGUAUUUUAUUUUAAAUAGAAUUCUAAAAGAGAAGAGAGAGAGAGUAUUUAAGGGAGGAAUCUAUUGUGAAAAAGGAGACUUUUGGAGAAGAGAAAGAAACCUUAGGUCUAAACUUUUCUCUUCUCUCUAUGAAGCACUAAACCUAUUUUUCUGGUUGAAGGAUAAUGAAGCUUUGAUUCAUCACUACUGUGAGAUCUAUUUUAUGCUUUAAUUGUUUUAUUGCUUUUUGGGUAUUUGUUUAUUCUCUGAAUUAUUUUCAUGAUUAUGUUUGUUAAUUAGGUAAUUGGCCACUAUUUAAUUAUCAACUUAAUCUAUUAUUAAUUAAAGGAUUCAUCGUAUGAAAAUUUUAAUGUUUGUGACAAAUAACAUACCAAUGAGUUGUGUUAUGAGAAUAAACAAUCUAAUUUAAAUGAAUCAUCGUAUGUGUUGAUUAGGAUUUGGGUCUCUCUGGUCUUUCAGGCUAUCAAUUGAUUAAAUCCUAUGAUCGUAUCUAGGAUUGUCUAUUGAUUAGGGAAAUAGCCAACGGUCGUACCUUGGUUAUCGACUAGUUAAGGAGAGAUUGGCUAUUAGAGGGUCUCAGUAGCUAUAACCGGUCUAUUCAUAAGUAAUAAUAAUCUAUAUUUGAAUCAAUGAUCAGUAAUCGAAUCUAGCUGAAUUAAUUCCUUCAACCAGAGCUUUCUCCAAUUUGAAUUACAACUUUAAUUUGCAUUCUUGUUAUUUUAAUUUGAUUUUUAUUAUUGUCAACAAAACCCCCAUUUUAUGUUUUACGUUUUAAAAGGAUUUAAAUAAUUACCGAUCUCUGUGGACACGACCCUGCUCAAUCACUAUACACAAUUUAUUUAGAGUAGGAAUUUAUUUUUGUUGGCUUCGACAACCAUCGUAUAGUCAUAUAAAUAAAAUUAAGAGAUGUACAUAAAAUAGGUAUUGUUAGGCGAAAGACUAAUUCAUUGCGACAUGUUGUUUAUUUGAUGGUCUCAAUGGAACUAUCCAAUGAAAUCACGUCAUCUGUAAUCGCACUUGAGCAGAGUUGAAAUAUCCACUAAGAGUUGCAUUCUGUAGGGCAUCUUUACAUGAUACAAAAGGCACCGAUUUUCCAUAGAACUGAUGCUGCACAAAAAAUCAAAUUAAAAAAUAUAUAUAUAUCACAACUUUUUAGUUGAUAUUAUAGAUUAAAUUUAUCUUUAUUAUUAUUGUUUCGCGUUCGAACUCUGUUUCAAUUAUUAUCAAAUUCUUUACUUACCUCUAUGUAAACUUGUAAGCCUUUAAAUCGAUGAGCAUUAUCAGUAACCUGGAUUUGUAUGUUAUUAGGAGGUCGUUGCUUAGAGAUUCCCAUGUCCACUCUUAGUGCCAAAAGACUUGGUCUUGAUGCACAGGUGACAAGUUUGUUGGGGAGUACAUUUGGACUCGCUAUCUUGAUUUAGUUCCAAACAUCAUAGCAUUUGGUUAUUUAUGUUGGUCAAAGUUCGCAAGUUCAGUUUGCGUGGUCAACUCAAGUAGACGAGAGAGUUGUGCAACUCUUGACCAUGCGUGCAAAUGCCAAUGUAUGUGGCUUUAAAAUUUGGCAGUGAGGACGUAUGAUCCCCCACAGCCUGGAAUCAAUGUGUGUCUGAAACCUUUUUUGAACGAAAACACGGAGCAAAUGUGAGCUUCUCGCAGGCUAAGGUUCCAAGAGAGGUUACAUAUGUUUACCAUGAAGUGUCAUAUGAACUUGUACAGAUUGAUUUCCGAUGUUUCUUUUUCCCGGUAAUUUCUUAUUUUAAAUCUUAUUGCUUGUCUUUGUGUAUGUGCGUUGGGCUGGAGGCUCCAUUGAAAUGGUGUUUCCUCAAAUUAUGAAUUAUAAUGCUCGUAAGUGUUAAUAUCAUCUCUUCUAGUCCAGCUUAUUAAGAAAGUCUUUCAGAAUCCUAUUCAAACAUAUUCCUUUUUUUUUUGUUUUUUGGAAGGAAAGAUUUUCUUGCUGGAAAUGUUGUUAAUUAACAAGGAUUCUGGUUGUAUUAACUAUUUUGUAAACAAAUUCUUUCAUCUGUACUACAAUAGCAGAUGACGGAGCUCACUGGGAAUAUUUUAUAUUUUUACCAUUGAUGUGAUAACUAAUAUAAGGCAUAAUGGUUUCUGUACCAUUUCCAGCCUCAGCCUGAUUCCAAUACUUGUGGAUCAAAGCAGAAAGUUGCCACACCACCUGUAGGUCCUGGAGAGCUUCCUUCAACGGGUUCAAACAAACCCAAGGAGUGGAGUUGUGCCCUCUGUCGGGUCAGUGCUACUACCGAGAGAGGUCUAGAUGAGCAUCUUCAAGGUAGGAAGCACAAGGCCAGGGUUUCAGGACUAAUUAGAGAUAAGAAAAUGUGCAGUAACUCCACUUCAUCCACGUCAAAAAAAUCUACUGAAAGCAGAGAUGGUGUUGGCCAAGAAAUGAAGACUAAAGUACAAGAGGAAUCAGUUAAAGCUAAUAAAACUGUUGUUGGUCUAGACCAGAAAGGGGAGGUUGGUCUAGAUGAGCAUCCUCAAGGUAAGAAGCAGAAGGCCAAGGAAGAAGAACUACUUGGAGCUCAGAAGUGGAUAAAAAAUCUAAUGAAAGCAGAGAUAGUGCUGGCCAAGAAAUGAAGACUAAAGUAGCAGAGGAAUCAGUUAAAGCUAAUAGAACUGUUGUUGGUUUAGACCAGAAAGAGGAGGGUUGUCAAGCCCUGCAGGUUAAGCCCUAUCCCAACCUUUGUGGAUCAAAGCAGGAAGCUGCCACACUACCUGCAGGUUCUGGUGAGCUCCCUUUGACCAGUUCAAGGAAACCCAUGGAUUAAAGCUGUGCCCUCUGUCAGGUCAGCACUACUCACAACAGAGAUCCAGAUUAGCAUCUUCAAGGCAAGAAGCACUAGGCCAAGGAAGGAGGACUACUUGGAGAUGAGAAGAUGUGCAGUAACUCCACUUCCAGAAACUCUACUGAAAACAGAGAUAGUGCUGGCCAGGAAAUUAAGGCUACUCUAGAAGAGGAAUCAGUUACACCGAAUAAAAAUAUCGUUGAUUUAGACCAGAAAGUGGAGGGUGGUCAAGAUGAGCAUCUUCAAGGUGAGAAGCACAAGGCGGAGGAAGCGGAGCUAAUUGGAGCUCAGAAGAUGUGCACUACCUCAUCUUCAUCGACAUCAAAAGAUUCUGGAAAGACAAGUAGACCAGAAAGUGGGUUAAGACCAGAAAGUGCUGGCCAAGAAAUGAAAGCUAAAGUAGAAGAGGAAUCAGUUAAAGCUAUUAAAACUGUUGUUGGUUUAGACCAGAAAGUGCAGGGUGAAGAAGAUUCAGAGAACAAAAAUAAGGAGCUGCUAAAGAAGGACUUGAAUGCAAACACUCAGAAGAUGACAAAUGGAAUACCGACUGGAGAGACGAUGAAGAGAAAACUUCCCCUUAGAGAGAAUUUCGAAUUCUGGUGUGAAGUUUGUCGAGGAGCUCAGAAGAAAUGAAGAGAAACUUCAUAUAUGCAUGGUUAUGACAUUGGACUCUUCGGCUCAAAGCAAAUUUUUCUUGAUCAUGACCUGACAUUAGUUUAUCUUUUGCUGGCAGGUAGUUGGCGGGAUAUCACUAACCACAACUUAUGCAGAAGCUUCCUAACAUCAGCGGUGGGUCCAGGAUGUUUGAUCGGAUCAGCUAAAUUAUUGUAUAUGUUUGUGUGAAUAUUUACAAAGGAGUGAAAAAACUAAUAUAUUAAAUAUCAAGAACCUCGUUCUGAAUGAAGUUUAUAUAUAUAAUUUGUAAAAUAAACUAAUAAUUAAAAUGACAAUUUACCCUUUUAACUCGUAGAGAUACAACCUUAAAUAAUAACAAGAGAGGAGCUCUCCAGGAUGCUUGUAGUGUCUAAAAAAUUAUCAUCAAUGAAAAUGGGAAUGGGAGGGCGUGGUGGGGUUGAUGAUCUAAGACUCUUUGCUCAUCACUGGUGGCCGUAAUAAUGGGGGCUUGGAGCACCUUCACUUCAACCCCCAGCAGCUCCUCGGCCUUUACCACUCAAUGAGCAAACCCUCUGGCGGCAGCAGCAUCUCCUGUGGCUAUCAUUGUUGCUGAACGAUAAAUUUGUGCUGCCCCUGAGAAGCUGAAAUUGCAAGAACAAGGCAGCAACUCAAAAACCAGCAAUCUUUUAAAUGUAAGCAAGCAUAAUAAUUAUUCAUAAAACGUUGAAACACAAAGUCCUGCUAGAUUCAAAAUUUAGAAGACUCGUGAUACAAUAAGAACUUAAAGUGUAUAUACGAUUAUGCAUUACAAGUGAAGUUGCAUGCUAUAUGAAGUUUUAAAAUAUGUCUCACUUUUCAAUGAUUUCUGGUAAAUCGCUAAUCCGAUAAUAUCAAAUAUCCUUCAUAAUCUUCAUCUUCCUCUUCUUCGUCGUCAUCGUCUUCUUUAGAUAUUUUUCCUCCUUCAACACCGUUAACCAUAUUUUUCAACUGCAAUGUCAGUUUGGAAGUAAUAUUUAUGAAGUUCAACAAGUUUCAAAUUUUGAUAUUGUUUGAAAUGUGAAUGAUAAGUACAACUUCUACCAUUAUUUAUAGAAAAAUAUGCAAUAUUGGCUUUGAGGAAAUAUAAUAAAGUUUACAAUUAAGAAAGGUGUAAUCCUAAAUCUCGAAAAAUCUGAUACUAAAUCUUAAAAUGUAAAUAUUUAAAUCCCGAAGAAUCCGAUGCAUAUUCUAACAGAUAGUGUUAUAAUUGUUGGAUUUACAUGGAGUCUAAUUAUAGUAUUAACGUUAGUACUCGAAUUCUCAUAUGAUCUAAACUUCUCUUGAGUAAAACUCACAUGGGAGAUUUGUGAUCCAUAAAUAAUUAUAUAAAAAAAAGAUAGUAAUUAAAUCAUAAUCGGGAGCGCUUAGAUCUUUUUUAUUUUUACUAUGAAGAGCUCAAUCGGGAGAAAAUUUAAAUUUUUAAGGGGAAAAAGCAACCCACACUCCCGAAGUUUGCUUAAAUAGUCACACAAACCCCCUUAAUUUCAUAAAUGAUGGAUUGCAUACCAUUAAGUCUAAAUUUCAUAAAUACUGUAAUAUUUUUAUCUAAUGAUGAAGAUAACGAUGAGAGGAGCUCUCUAGGAUGCUUUCCCAUUAGUACUUCUAGUGCCACCACUCCAAAGCUAUAAACAUCAGAUUUCUCCGUCACAACCAUGGUGUAGGCAAGUUCUGUAUGAAAACAGAAGCCUUUAUUAGUGAUGUUUCCUAAAUAAUAACAAGAGCAAUUUGUUUAUAUCUUUGAGCUUCUGCAGCAAGGUAUGACAGAGAACCAUAUGUUUUUAACUGAUAUUUAAAGUGUAUUUUUUUUUUAAAAAAAAGUGAAACUGGUAGGCAAAGUUCAAAUUCAUUUUUCCAGCUCUUUACCUAUUCAAAAAUUUGAACCUAAGUAGCUAAUUAAAUAAAACUGCUUAAAAAUUACUUAACCGAGUAUAUACAAAAAUUAAUUAAAAGAAUAAUUAAAGAAGCAGAAGAAGAAUAGCUAGAAGAUUACCAGGAGCAAUAUAUCCAUAAGUGCCAGCCAAUAGAGUUCGAUUGGAUGAGUCAAAAUUUAAUAAUCUAGCAACGCCAAAGUCAGCAACAAAUGCUUCUAAUUCUGAGUUGAGUAGAACGUUGUUGCUUGAUAUGUCGCGGUGAACAAUUGGUGGUGUGCAGUCAUGAUGCAAGUAUGACAAAGCAUGAGCCAUGCCCUUCACACCGUUCACCCUUUUAGUCCAAUCCAACCCAACAGCUUCCUCAUCUAUGCGUAGAAUACAUAACAAGCUUCCCAUUUCCAUGUACUCAUAGAUCAAGAACACGCAGUUCUCGUGCAAACAAAAGCCGUAAAGCUUUACGAUAUUUCGAUGCCGUAUUUGGGACAGUAGACGAGCCUCAUUCCGGAAACUCUCGAGGGAAGCUAACUCCUCAGUUUCUGAACGGUGAAGCUUCUUCAAAGCAACCACUUUUCCACUGGGCAGCCGUGCUCUGUAAACGCUGCCGUAGCCUCCGGUUCCAAUGCAGUAUUUGAUAUGGAAAUCCUCAGUAGCUUCAAUCAUGUCUUGAAAUGUAAUUCUACCGUCGUAAUUCCAAAUUGCAAACUCAUCAGCGCACUUGGUGAUUUCUUCUGUCUCAGCUGGUUCAACUCUCUUAUCCCUUCGUCUACGGACAAACAAGAUUCCAAAUAUCAAGGCAAGGAAUGCGACCAUAGGGAGAAUAAUUGCAACCAAGCGAGUGACAAUCUUUUUGUGAUGUGGCGGUGGCGAAUUUGCCGAAGUAUUUGGGAUUUCUACCUCGAAAUUGUUGCCUGACACAUAUAAGAGAGGCACUUUUUUGACAGAUUCAGGGAUGCUACCGGAAAGGCUAUUCAUGGAAAGGUUCACGGUAUCUAUGCGUCGAAUUUCUCCAAGCUGGGAAGGUAUUUUACCAUUAAUCAAGUUAUGGCUUAAAUCAAGAUAAUUUAGUUCUUGAAGUUUGCCAAUCUCUGACGGAAUGCUUCCGCUUAACAAGUUGUUUCCCAAUAUUAAUAUCCGCAGCUUUGAGCAAUUCAUGAGUUCUGGAGGAAUUGGACCAUCAAGUUUGUUGUUGUACAUAUUUAAAGUAGUUAGCUGAGUCAAAUGACCCAGGGACGACGGGAUUGGACCAACAAGUUUGUUUUCGGACAAUUCUAAAUCUGUCAACCUAUUUAAAUGACCAAGUGUUAAAGGAAUAGAUCCAGUUAGAUUGUUAUAUUCCAGGGACAGAGAUGUCAAGUUGACUAAACCAGCUAUGGUGGAAGGAAUUGGACCUUCAAGUUUGUUGUCGGACAGGUCAAGAACUUGAAGAAAGUUCAAAUUCCCGAUUUCUAAUGGGAUGGAACCAUUGAUUAGGUUUGAGUGCAUAUAAAAAGUAGUUAGCUGAGUCAAAUGACCUACAGACGAAGGGAUUGGGCCAACAAGUUUGUUCUGGGACAAGUCUAAACUUCUCAACCUCUUUAAAUGGCCAAGUGUUUGAAGGAAUUGAACCUCCAAUUUCAUUUCAGGACAGGUCAAGAACUUGAAGAAAGUUCAAAUUCCCGAUUUCUAAUGGGAUGGAAACAUCAAUGUGGUUUGAGGCAAUAGCCAAAGUAGUUAGAUGGGUUAGAUGACCUACAAUGGAGGGGAUAUUACCAACAAGGGAGUUAGAAGACAAGUGCAAAUUUUCCAAUUUGCUUAGACGACCAAGAGUUGGAGGGAUAUAUCCCCAGAGGAAAUUAUCAGAUAGAUCCAGGUGGACGAGAUUCCUCCAUCUCCCCAUCUCUGAAGGGAUAAUUCCUGUUGCGCAUGUGAUUUAUGAAAAACGAGAUCAGUAUUCACUAUCCUCAUAGAAAUAAAAUUUAUAAAGAAAUGCUUAGGUUGUAAAAAUUAAUAGAUUUUUUAGUGCUCUAAUAGUUUUUUUUUUCUUAUUUUUUGUUGGGGCUCGUCAAUGCUGCAAAUUUUAGACUGAAAGUUAAAUCUGCAGAUGCAACAAAUAUAUCAAUAAAUUAAUACAAAACUAUGGAGAUUAGAGAGAAUCACUCUCAGUGCUCUCAAUUGACUACCCUAUUGUUGUGCAAAUUUUAAUGAACUCGCAAGCGCACGAAUCUAUUGUAGUAUAGACUAAUGGUGACGAGUGUCGAUCCCACGAGGAGGUGGAUUUUAAUUAUAUAUAGAAUUAAUUUUGUAAAUGGGUGGUUGGAAUUGUGGUGGAAGUGAUUUAAAUUAUCCUAAAAUUGGAAUUGAAAUGGCGAUAAUAAAUUCUAAAAUUGGACUUGCAAUGGCGAGAAUAAAUUGAAGAGAAAUCUAUUAAAAUGACUUAUUUGGGUAUCUGGAUCCGUAUCAACAUGCAUCAUGGGCUAAAUAUUCCUUAUUAAUGCCAAUUAAAUCAUGAGGGGGGAAUCCACACCUCAUGAACCACGCUCUAAUCAAUAUGGUGCUAAGGGCUUAUCGUGCCAAAUAAUAAUAACCUUGUACUAGAGGGCCGGUGAAACCAAGGCGGUACUAGACAAGAUUAGUAUUAUUUGUCGACGAGAAGUCAAAACAUCCACAAAAACUAGAGGGGAAGAGAAAAUAAAUUUACCAAAUUAAGCCCAUGACACAUGUUGAGACUUCACCUUCAACCCAAGCUUGAAAGAAAAUUAGCCACUCAUAAUUGAACUAGGGGCAAAAUGAGAAUUUAUUAAAAUACGAAGAAAAUACAAGAUAAAGAAGGAAUUACAGAAAAUAAAGUCCAAAAAUGGAUUCAGCGAUAUCAAAUUAGGGGGGGGAGGCCCCCUUUUUAUAGAUACAUGGAGUAAAUUAUGGCCAUCGGAUUAAAAACAGUUUGGACGCUCAGGAUUACGCCACGUCAUCAGUCAACAGUCCACGGUUUGACCACGUGGAUGAACAGUAAUACGGUUUGACUCGGAUGAACAGUAACGCGGUUUGGUUGAAAAUAAUCCUGUGUGAUGCAUGUACCGUACGCGAGAUUUUUCGUCCACUGAUAUGCUGCCACGUCACCAUCAACAGUACAUAAGAAUUUUAGCCCAACAGGAUCGUGACACCUCAUCAGUCAAUGCCACAUCAUCAUCUGUCUAUGUGAACAGUGUCGUGAACAGUAACGUAUAUACAGUACCGUACACGUGAAUAGUACCGUACAUGUGAUCAGUGCCAUUUUUCUUUUUAUGCUUCUCCUAAGGUUUUCGACCGUCCUGAGUUCAAAAGUGAUGUCCGUUUUGCCAUCUGAUUUCUCGUUUAUUGUGAAAUGACUAUGAUGCCCCUAAAAUACAUAAAAUACUUAAUUAAAAUAAAACACAUGUAAUUAAAUCACAAGAAAGUUAAAUACAUAAAAGUAAGGGUUGUUAAUAAGACUUGAAAUGUAAAAUGACGGUUUUCUCCUUUAUAAAUAUGCAUUUUCUAACACUCAACACACCCCCCAACCAGUUUAUUGCUAGUCCCUAGCAAAUAAAGCGAAAACAAAAAAAAUAAUUUUUUUUAAUAGAAACACUCAUAUUUAUUCCAUCAGAUUAAUGAUAGCAAUUAAAUAAAAGUAUAAGCAUUAUCUCCAGUCUAAAGCAACAUCACACCCACAUCAACCAUCCACAUGAAUCAGCCCAGUAGACUUUGUCAUAGCUACUUUCAAGAAUGACAUGUCAAACCCCAAACUGGAAGUAGUGACACUCUCACAAAGAAAUUAAAACCAAUAAAAAUAGUCACUCCAAUGAAUGGUAAUUGAGAGAGAAAAUAAUAAAGAAGUGAUAUCACAUGCUCUCACCAAAAUGAAAUAAAUAUGCCCUCAGCUUAGAAAUAAUACGAUCUCAAGUCAAAUAAAAAUGCUAGUUAACCCAAUUUAUUUGUCUUAUUUAUUUAUUUAUUUAUUUUUAUUAUGCAGCACUACAUCUUUUUAGCUCAUAUAACUAGCUUCUACUUCAGACUAUAGUUCCCUAAACUCAAGAAGGACUUUUAUUAGGACGUACCGUAGGUUAGGGACAUGGUUAACAAAGAAGGGAAAUAAGGAAAAUAAAGUGUAUGUUUGAGAAAAAAAAAUUGCAGGGAUUUUUUUUUUUUUGGAAGUUGCAAGGUGGAUUUCACCUAUUGUUGUUAUUUUUUUAUUUUUUAUUUUUCUUUUGAAACAACAAUUUUUGUUUUUUUGUUUUUUGUUUUUUUUUUACUUUUAUUUGGCAUAACUUCACUGAACAAAAAUACUUAUUUACAUUUUUCUCAAACAUAAAUAGGUGAUGGAACUUAUAAGACAUUGGGUAAUACUCCAAAUCGGAGUGGGUCAAGAUAAGUUAAACAAAUAAAAGGUUUUUUUUUUUUUUAAAAAAAGGCUCAAAAUGGUUAACUAUGGAUAUUUCACAAAAGGGAUGGCUAGAAAGGCUCAAACGGAUCAAAGAUGGCCUUUCCAUCGUCUUUUAGGGCUCUAAAUAAUCAUCCAUAUCUACUAGUUAGAUGGGCCUCCCAAUGUAGCAACAUACAUUUUUUUUUCUUUUUCUUUUUUUUUUAUUUUACCAUUUUUUUUAAGGGUUAACUCAAAAGAAAUCUAGAGAUCGUGUAUAAAAUAAUAAACUGCUAAGCUGUAUAGAGAAUGGGCAAAAGGGUUACUCUCCAAGAAAAUGAUAGGCUCAACAACUCACUUGGCAUUUAUUUAUAGCAUGUUCAUUCCUUCAAGCAACUUAUAUUUGUCUCCGACAUCAACAUGUAAAGUAGCAAACAUAGCGUAACAUCACUUAAGACUAAAGAUAAUACAAAUACUAAAAUUUGAAAUUAAUCAUGUCAUCCAAUGUUAAAACAAAUCACACAAAUUAUUAUUAUUAUUUUUUAAACAACAUUCUACCCCCCAACCUAUUCUAAGCAUGAAAGGAAAAUAUGCAUGCAGAAAUGUGAAUAUGAUGCAGAAAAACUAAUUAGAAAAGUUACACUUAAAAUGAUGGAAAACCAAAAUGAUUUUUUUUUUAAAGAAGAUGCGUUUCUAGAGGAACUACACUCCAUAUUCAGCCAUCUUCGACUCACAAGUUGGAAAAUGUAUAUUUAUAGAGGAGAAAUUAAAAAGAAGAAAAAUAAACAUAAAAACAUAAUACAGAAAAAGAAAAUGUCUGAAAUUUUUUUAAUUUUUUUUUAAUUUCUUUAACGAUGAAGAUGCGUUUCUAGAGUAACUAUACUCCAUAUUCAGCCAUCUUCAACACAAAAAGUUAGCAACAGUUAGUUUCUACAACAAAAAAUUAGUAAAAACUUAACCAAAAUUCCACAUUUGUCGACUAUUCCCUCCCCCCAACCAGAACGAAACAUUAUCCUCAAUGUUUUAAAGGAAAGAAGUAGAGUUUAGAAGACAUCACCUGGGUGGUGCAACACAGAAGAAAAUAUUUAUAGGCGGAGAGUUAAAUCUAAUUUUUACUUCUUACUGCGGCUACUGUUACCAUCAUUAUUUGGAGGCUCCAACCCCAACACAAAGGUCUAGGGGUCUGGGUCCGGUUUAUAAGCUUGUAACAGAUCAAGUAGCUCAUUAGCAGUGUGAGCACAAAUAAAGAGUUUUUUCGCAUUAGGGGGAAUGAAAUAGUUUUUUAUUGCAUGGUUAAGAAAUGCGAUAAAGCCAUCAUAAAAGUUAUUGACAUUUAACAAACCGAUGGGUUUCUGGUGGAUGUACAGAUGGGCCCAAGAUGCUAGUGUGAUAAGUGCCUCUAGUGUUGCAAGAUCUCCUGGAAGGAAAAUAAAAGCAUCAGCAUGAUUAAGCAUUUCAGUUAUUCUUUCUUGCAUACCUGAGACGACUAACUCUUCUCCAGUUGAUGAGUCAAACGAACUACCCAAAGGUUUUAGGGCUCUUGGGAUGAUGCCUAACACUUGGCUGCCUCUGAUAAAAGCUGCUUCUGAGACCAUUUUUGUUAACCCUCGAUUACCUCCUCCAUACACCAAGUGUAAUUUUCUCGCUGCUAUGCUGCGACCAAGAUCUAUGGCUGCCUCAACAAACUCUUUAUGUUUGCCAUAUGAAAAUCCAGAAAGCACACAAAUGUUCUUGAAUUGUCUAUUUGGAGUAGCUGCCAUUGGGAUACUUCUCAAAAAAUAAUUUGUUAGUGCUUGACAAAAAAAAUCACAUUUAAGAGUCUUGGUGACAAUGGGUCACAGUUGUGUAUGAGGUAACAUGUCAGUGUCAAAUAACGCGUAAAGCACGUGGCUCGCGAGUCAAAAAGGAAACAGUAAAAAGGGAAAAAGAAAACAAUAAUAAGGAAAAAGCAAACAGUAAUAAAAUUAUUAAAGACAAUAAUGCACACAGUAAAACAAUAGUGAAAUAAAAUAACAGUAAAGUGAAAGGAUAUUUACAGGUAGUUGCGACUGUGGCUCACAUCUUCCUCUGGUUUUACGUCCAGAAACGGCUUGAACGCCCUCUAUGGGUCGAGGAUAGGCUUCAUAUCCAGUUUUCUUAUAAAUUGGCAAACAGGGUCGUUUAUAGUCAGAUUCCCGAGACUAUAUCGUGCAUGCUCUUUCUGGAAUAAUGGCCAUAACUGGAGAAUCGCUCCUUGCACAUAUCCACUGGGAUGCGUUUCAAGAGGCAAAAGGAUAUCAUCCAAUGACUCCUUAUUCAAGCCAUCCUUAAUGAAUUGAAUCUUAUCUUCCCUGUUAUCAGACAUCAUUCCUAAAGAACAUGGGUUUUUAUUGCAACUCAUUCUGGCACACUUAUGACAAGCAACAGAAAUUCUUCGAGCUCGUCAUUUUCUUGCAUAAUUUCCUUUACCACAACCAGGCAUGUAUGUAAUAAAUUUUGGAGGUAACUCACCUGUCGAUCGUACUUUAGCCUCGAUUAACCAACGGAUGUCAGCAGGUAUGUUAUUCCUCAAGAGUAAUCGGAUGCGUUCGGACCGAACUUUAUAGAUCGUAAGGAGGGCACUCUGACGAAGUAAAGGGAAUCGCUUGUGAAGCUUCGCUAGAAUCUCGUUUCUGUCCAUACUUUCGCCUCAGAAUAUUAGUUAUUAUGGGAAACUGAAGUAACCGACUUGAUUGUCACGGAGUACCGUUAUCCGCCACUUCACCGGGGUAACAAACUAAAGCACACAAAUAGAAAAACAAAUUAAAACACACAAAGAAAAUUAAAAUCGUCCUCUUAUUGAAUUUACCUCAAGCUCCAACUGGAUGUCAUAAACACUUCUCUCAAUGUCUCUGAGUUGGCUUUCUAAACCCUCAACAUAGGCUACUAACUCUGGUGGUUGUAGAGUCCAAAUACGAUGUGUUUUACAAAAUUGAAUCUGUCUUUUGAGAUGAGUUUUGACACGUUAAAGUGGUUUAAGAAUGUUCAGGAGGAACGGUCUAAGUAUGAGACUCAUGAUUAACAAUGAUAAGAGAAAACUUACUAGUUAAACAAACACACUUAUGCAAAAAUAAUUUCAAUUAGCAAAAGAAUAAUAUAAAGAAAGAAAGAAAAAUCAAAUCAACGAAAAGAAAAAUCAAUUCAAAUCUGGUGGGUCACUCAAAUUUAUUUCGGUGUCUUCUCCAUGUGGUUGGUAUUCUAGAUAUGGUUUUAAUCUUUGACCAUUAACUUUAAACGUGACACCGUUCUUUGGGUCCUUAAUUUCAAUUGCCCUAUGUGGAAAAAUAGUAUGAACAAUAAAUGGGCCAGACCAACGAGAGCGUAACUUACCUGGGAAUAGGUGCAAACGAGAAUUGAAUAAAAGCACUUUCUGACCUGGAGUGAAAGAUUUUCUCAUAAUUUGCUUGUCAUGGAAGGCUUUCAUUCGUUGCUUGUAAAUCUUGGCAUUUUCGUACGCGUCAUUGCGAAUUUCUUCAAGUUCUGCCAGCUGUAAUCUUCUUUCUGAGCUGGCUUGCUGCAUGUCAAAAUUGAAUUUCUUGAUGGCCCAAUAUGCACGAUGCUCGAGUUCCACAGGUAGGUGGCAAGCUUUUCCAUACACUAGCCUGUAGGGUGACAUCCCAAUCGGGGUCUUGAAAGCCGUUCUAUAUGCCCAUAAUGCACCAUCAAGUCUUAAUGACCAAUCUUUCCUGUCUGGCCUCACUGUCUUUUCUAAUAUGUGCUUUAUUUCUCGAUUGGAAAUCUCAACUUGGGCACUGGUUUGCGGAUGAUACGGGGUCGCCACUUUGUGUGUGAUUGAAUACUUUGUCAAAAGAGCCUUGAAUGGUUUGUUACAAAAGUGGGCACCACCAUCACUGAUUAUUGCUCGAGGGAAUCCAAAGCGCGAAACAAUGUUGCUUUUCAAAAAUCCUAUCACCACCUUGUGAUCAUUGGUCCUACAUGAAAUUGCUUCUACCCAUUUCGAUAUGUAGUCAACAGCAACCAAUAUGUAUUGAUGGCCAAAAGAAUGGGGAAAGGGUCCCAUGAAGUCGAUACCCCAUACAUCAAAAAUCUCAACCACUAAAAUUGGAUUUAGUGGCAUCAUGUUCCUUCGUGUAAUGCUCCCCAUUCGUUGACACCUAUCACAUGAAGAACAAAAAGUGUAAGCAUCUUGAAAUAUAGUUGGCCAAUAAAAACCACAUUGUAAAACUUUAGUUGCUGUUUUCUUAGCACUGAAAUGGCCUCCACAAGCUUGUUCAUGGCAGAAUGAAAGAAUAUUCUGAAUUUCAUUUUCUGGGACAUAUCGUCUAACAAUUUGGUCUGCACAAUACUUGAACAAAUACGGGUCAUCCCAAAAGAAAUUCUUUAUCUCUGCAAAUAAUUUAGCCUUAUCUUGCUUGGUCCAAUGCUCUGGAAGUUUACCUGUAACAAGAUAAUUAACUAUAUCACCAUACCAAGGCAAUACUUCCGCACUCAUUAAUUGUUCAUCUGGAAAUGACUCAUUCAAUAUUAAUGGCUCUGUAAUUGUGUCAAAAUGGAGACGAGAGAGGUGGUCCGCCACAACAUUUUCUGUCCCUUUCUUAUCUUUGAAUUCCAAGUCAAAUUCCUGCAAAAGUAACACCCAAUGAAUUAGUCUGGCUUUUGCAUAUUUCUUUAUGAGAAGAUAUUUAAGAGCAGCAUGAUCCGUGAAUAUAAUUAUUUUACAACCAAUGAGAUAGGAUCGAAAUUUUUCCAAUGCAAACACUACUGCUAGCAUUUCUUUUUCAGUAGUUGAAUAAUUCAACUGGGCAUCAUUUAAUGUCAUACUAGCAUAGUAAAUAACGUGGGGAAUUCGAUCAACUCUUUGUCCUAAUACUGCUCCUACUGCAUAAUCAGAUGCAUCACACAUGAGCUCAAAUGGUAAGUUCCAGUUCGGGGACUGAAUGAUGGGUGAUGAUGUCAAUAAAUGCUUUAAUUUUUCAAACGCAACAAGACAUGAAUCAUCAAAGACAAAAGGUACAUCCUUAGCAAGUAGAUUGCAUAAGGGUCUAGAAACUUUGCUAAAAUCUUUAAUGAAACGUCUAUAGAAACCAGCAUGCCCAAGGAAAGAUCUUACUUCUCUGACUAUUUUGGGUGGAGGAAGAUUAGAAAUGAGAUCCACUUUAGCUUUGUCAACCUCAAUACCAUUGCUCGAAAUAAUGUGACCAAGAACAAUACCUUGUUUUACCAUAAAAUGGCACUUCUCCCAAUUUAAGAUCAAGUUCUUCUCAAUACAUCUCUGCAGAACUAGUGUUAGAUGAUGUAAACAUUGAUCAAACGAAUCACCAAAGACAGAAAAGUCAUCCAUAAAGACUUCAAGGAAUCGUUCAACCAUAUCAGAAAAAAUGCUCAACAUGCAUCGUUGAAAUGUAGCAGGUGCAUUACAUAAUCCAAAUGGCAUUCUCCUAUAUGCAAAAGUGCCAAAAGGGCAAGUGAAAGUGGUUUUCUCCUGAUCUUUUGGUGCUAUGGGGAUCUGAUUAUAUCCUGAGUAGCCAUCUAAAAAGCAAUAAAAUUCAUGACCUGCUAAUCUAUCAAGCAUUUGAUCAAUAAAUGGUAAAGGAAAAUGGUCUUUACGUGUGACAGAAUUCAACUUUCUAUAAUCAAUGCAUACACGCCAUUCUGUAGUUACUCUAGUUGGUAUCAAUUCAUUAUCAGCAUUCAUAACUACUGUGACUCCUGACUUUUUAGGGACAACUUGUACAGGACUGACCCAUGAACUAUCAGAAAUUGGGUAAAUGAUACCUGCGUCUAAUAGCUUAAGGACUUCAGUUCUAACAACUUCUUUCAUAUUAGGAUUUAACCGACGUUGCAUUUCCCUAGUAGAUUUAGCAUUUUCAUCGAGGUGAAUGUAAUGCAUGCAGUCUACUGGGUUUAUACCUUUCAUGUCUGCUAUAGUCCAUCCUAAUGCUCCUUUGUGCUCUUUUAAAACAUCCAACAACUUACCUUUUUGUUCGUCAUUGAGGGAUGAUGAGAUGAUUACCGGCAGAGUGCUUUCUUCUCCCAAAAAUGCAUAUUCCAGAGUGUUGGGUAAUGGUUUGAGCUCGAGUUUCGGUGGUGAUUCUGAUGAUGGGAUGAGUUUCUUCUCUGAUGGUGCUAGUUGUUCAACUCUUGACUUCCAUUUAUUAGUGUCCAUGGAUGGUGCUAAGUCAAGUAGGGCAUUGACCUCAUCGACCGAUCUGUUAAUAUUAAAAUCAAAACCAAAGUGAGUUAAACAUGUUUGUAAAGGAUCAUCACUAAGGUUUGAAAGAAAAGUGUUAUCAACUAUUGUUUCAAUUAAAUCCACAUCAAUAAUUCCAUCAUCUGCAUUGUGAGGUUGUUUGGCAAUGUUGAAGAUGUUCAGUUCCAUAGUCAUAUUGCCGAAGGACAACUGCAUAUUUCCAGUUCUGCAUUGAAUGUGAGCAUCCGCAGUUGCCAAGAAAGGUCGGCCUAGGAUAAUGGGGAUGUGCUUCCUUGAAUCCUGUAUUGGUUGAGUGUCAAUUACAAUGAAAUCAACAGGAAAAUAGAACUUGUCUACCUGGAUAAGCACGUCCUCCACAAUACCACGAGGUAUUUUUGUGGACCAAUCUGCAAGUUGUAACACCAAUGGAGUUGGGUGUAAUUCUCUCAAUCCAAGUUUCACGAAUACUGAAUAAGGCAACAGAUUUACACUAGCUCCUAAAUCCAACAAAGCAUUCUCAAUUGUGUGGUUCCCUAUACUGCAUGAGAUAGUGGGGGAGCCUGGGUUUUUGCAUUUUAAAGGAAUUUUAUGUUGGAGUAUAGAACUAACGUUUUCUGUUAAAAAUGCCUUCUUUUGAACAUGUAUAUUUCUCUUUUUAGUACAAAGGUCUUUAAGAAACUUGGCAUAAGAUGGAACUUGUUUAAUAGCAUCAAGCAAAAGGAUGUUAACACUUACCUGUUUGAAGAUUUCAAGAAUCUCACCUGUGGAUUUUCCCUUUUUUCCUUUAGCUAAUCUCUGAGGAAAUGGAGCUUUGGGAACAUAUUCCCGUGGGUUGGUUUUUUCUUUCUCCUCCGGUGAUGAGUCCUCAAGACUCACAUGUACAAUUUGAUUUUCUUUUGUCACCGACAUCUCCACUUUGUUGUCGACUUCUUUUCCUUUUCUCAAGGUCAUAACUGCUUUGACUUCUCCAUGCUGUUGUAGUGAACUGGUACUUGCUUCAUGCACUCCUUUAGGAUUAGGCACUGGUUGACUUAGAAAUUUACCUUUCCCAACAGUCAUUGCCAAGGUCUGAACUGAAGAAGCCAGUUGUCCCACCAUCUUCUCGAGGCUUGAAACUGAUUGGGCUUAUGAGUUGAAGCCCGCUCUCAAUUCAUUUCGUAGUCCAUCAAUGGUGCGGUUCUGUUGCUCAAUCGUGGAGUGAAUAACAUUCUUGAAAUUCUGGAAUGCAUCCUCCCAUGGUCUGGGUUGAGAGUAGUUCUGGUUUUGAUUGUAUGGACUAAAUGGGGGCUGAGAGGCUUAAGGAUUUUGUGGAAUUUGUUGCAUUGGUGUAGCUGGAGCUGCUGGUCCAUUCUGUUGGAAUCCUUGAGACCAUGAAAAAUUAGGGUGGUCUCUCCAUCCAGGGUUAUAUGUGUUGGAGUAUGGGUUGUAAUUUGAUGGCUUUCUCAUUACACCUAUGGCAUUGGCUUGAUCUGAGUAUAAGUCAUGGUCAUGUGGCUCUGUUGAUUUAGCAGUCGAUAACGAUGCUAUUUGUCGAGCAAGACCUUCAACCAUCUCCUUGACUUCUUUGAUUCCCGAAGUUGACUCGCCAAUUUGAACCUCAUUCACUCCUUUAAUUCUUCUAGUAUUCCGGAGUGAUCGACUCCGUUGUUGGGAAUUAUCCGCUUGUCGUUGAAAGAAUUCCCAAAUCUCUGAUGCACUUUUUGACAUUAGCUCUCCUCCACUUGUUGCCAUUAGCCAUUCCUGCACAUUCGGCAAUAAUCCCUCCAAAAAGUAUUGGCAUUGGUGCCAUUUCUCGUACCUAUGAUGUGGACACUUCAAGAGUAGCCAAUUGAAUCGUUCCCACGUUUCGAAAAACUACUCGUCUUCUCUCUGUGUAAACUCUGAAAUUUCCCUGCGAAUAGCAUUGGUUUUAUGCACUGGGAAAUAUUUAUUCAAAAAUUUUGUAACCAUUUGUUCCCAUGAUGUGAUGCUAUUAGCAGGCAAAGUAUUUAACCAUGAACGAGCUCUAUCCUUUAAAGAAAAUGAGAAUAAUCUGAGUUUAACAUCAUCGUUUGAAAAAUUUUCAUAUUUAAAAGUUUGACAAAUUGCAUGAAAAUCAUUCAGAUGAUUAUAUGGGUCCUCAUUUUCUAGGCCAUAAAAUGUUGGGAGACAAUUUAGCACACUGGGUUUUAAUUCAAAACUUCUAGCAGCUACAUUUGGGUAUCUUAUGCAUGAUGUGCUCAAAUUAGCUAAGGGACUAAAAUAGUCCUUAAAUGGCCUCUCUUGUGGUGCUUGUAAAUCCAUUCCAAUUUUAUUUUUAAUGUGCUUUUGUGUGCGAAGUAUUUUUCAAGUUCAAGGUCUAUAGGUUCAAGAUUGGGUAAUAAUGACCUUCGACCAUGCAUGCAAAACAAAUAAAAUAAAAAAUAAAGAUGGGAACAAAAUAAAUAAAAAUAAAGAAAAAGAAGAAAUUACGAUACUAACCUUAUUGCGCUAUUACAACCUUUCUAUAAAAAUACACAAAAAUAAAUACGUGAAAUAAAUUAACUAAAAAUUAAAUUAAUUAAAUAAAAAAAUUACAAAGAAAAAUAAAUUGAAAAUUAAAUCACAGAAUUUUAAAGAAGAGAAAAAGAAAAGAAAUACUAACCUUUAAAUGUAGAUUCACUUUUUUUUUCUUUUUUUUUAAUAAAAAUAAAAAAAUACAAGAAAACAAAUAAAAGAAAUUAUUCACAAAAAUUAAUUCUAUGAAUUAAAAGUACUUACCUCCCCGGCAACGGCGCCAAAAACUUAUUGUGCAAAUUUUAAUGAACUCGCAAGCACACGAAUCUAUUGUAGUAUAGACUAAUGGUGACGAGUGUCGAUCCCAUGAGGAGGUGGAUUUUAAUUAUAUAUAGAAUUAAUUUUGUAAAUGGGUGGUUGGAAUUGUGGUGGAAGUGAUUUAAAUUAUCCUAAAAUUGGAAUUGAAAUGGCGAUAAUAAAUUCUAAAAUUAGACUUGCAAUGGCGAGAAUAAAUUGAAGAGAAAUCUAUUGAAAUGACGUACUUGAGUAUCUGGAUCCGUAUCAACAUGCAUCAUGGGCUAAAUAUUCCUUAUUAAUGCCAAUUAAAUCAUGAGGGGGGAAUCCACACCUCAUGAACCACGCUCUAAUCAAUAUGGUGAUAAGGGCUUAUCGUGCCAAAUAAUAAUAACCUUGUACUAGAGGGCCGGUGAAACCAAGGCGGUACUAGACAAGAUUAGUAUUAUUUGUCGACGAGAAGUCAAAACAUCCACAAAAACUAGAGGGGAAGAGAAAAUAAAUUUACCAAAUUAAGCCCAUGACACAUGUUGAGACUUCACCUUCAACCCAAGCUUGAAAGAAAAUUAGCCACUCAUAAUUGAACUAGGGGCAAAAUGAGAAUUUAUUAAAAUACGAAGAAAAUACAAGAUAAAGAAGGAAUUACAGAAAAUAAAGUCCAAAAAUGGAUUCAGCGAUAUCAAAUUAGGAGGGGGAGGCCCCCUUUUUAUAGAUACAUGGAGUAAAUUAUGGCCAUCGGAUUAAAAACAGUUUGGACGCUCAGGAUUACGCCACGUCAUCAGUCAACAGUCCACGGUUUGACCACGUGGAUGAACAGUAAUACGGUUUGACUCGGAUGAACAGUAACGCGGUUUGACUCGGAUGAACAGUAACGCGGUUUUGUUGAAAAUAAUCCUGUGUGAUGCAUGUACCGUACGCGAGAUUUUUCGUCCACUGAUAUGCUGCCACGUCACCAUCAACAGUACAUAAGAAUUUUAGCCCAACAGGAUCGUGACACCUCAUCAGUCAAUGCCACAUCAUCGGUCAAUGCCACAUCAUCAUCCGUCUAUGUGAACAGUGUCGUGAACAGUAACGUAUAUACAGUACCGUACACGUGAAUAGUACCGUACAUGUGAUCAGUGCCAUUUUUCUUUUUAUGCUUCUCCUAAGGUUUUCGACCGUCCUGAGUUCAAAAGUGAUGUCCGUUUUGCCAUCUGAUUUCUCGUUUAUUGUGAAAUGACUAUGAUGCCCCUAAAAUACAUAAAAUACUUAAUUAAAAUAAAACACAUGUAAUUAAAUCACAAGAAAGUUAAAUACAUAAAAGUAAGGGUUGUUAAUAAGACUUGAAAUGUAAAAUGACAGUUUUCUCCUUUAUAAAUAUACAUUUUCUAACACUCAACACCUAUCCUGUAAAUACAAAAGUAAAUUUAGUAAAUUAAUGAGGAACUGUGUAUGUGUGAAAUUAAAAAUAGUGCUUUUGAUUUGUAAUCAUAUCUUUUAUAGGAUAUAUUCAUUGUCUACAUAUUUUAAUUUAUGUGUAGAAAAUUAGAUAUAUUCAAUGUCUAAUCUGAUUCUACACAAAGACUAAUGCCCCAAGAUUGUGUAGGGGUGUUCAUAAUCCAAUCCGAUCCGCUCAAUCCGUCUGAUCCGUGAAAAUCCGAUCCGUGGAUCCGUGAAUUGGAUAUGGAUUGAAAAUUUAAAAAUCCGCAGUCGAUGGAUUGGAUAUGGAUUUACUUCUAUAAAUCCGUAAAAAUCCGUGAAUCCGCAAAAUAUAUAUAUAUAUAUAUAUAUAUAUACAUUUAUUUAGUUAAAAAAUUAUUAUAAAUUUAAUUAAAGAAUAUUAUAAAUGUGACAUUACAUAGUUACAUAAGCACUAUAAUAUGUCUUAGCUAUUACCCAAUAAUAAUAUUAAAUAAUUAAAUAAUCAAAUAUACAAAUAUAACUUGUAAAAAUUGUAAAACAAAAUAAAAGCAAAGUCACACGCACUAGCAAAAACAAAGUAACAUAACGCCAAGUUACCAACAAUUUGCAAAGUCACCCAAAAGCAAAGUAACAUAACACCAAGUCACCAACAAUUUGCAAAUAAAAAACCUUAAGCUUCCUUGUUGUCACAUGCAAUAGCAACACUCAAUACUGGUUCGAUACACUCUCGACACUGAUUUGAAGGACGUCGGCCGCACGAUUCCAGCAAGAGCAAGCCAUCUUCUUCCCCGAGCCCAUCGAGCCACUUCACAAUCACUGGUUCCAGCCAAACAAUUGCACUAUCACAACCUUCAAGAUCAUCACCCGUACUUCUCCUAGUUCCAAUAGUUGACGGCUCCAUAAUCACCACUUUUCGACAAGUAUAACAGCCCUGGUGAAGGAUCAUACUGUGUUUGGUUUCAGAAACUUCACCAUUUCAAUUAAUUGUGACUUUAUUUGAAUAAUUAAUUUCGGUGUUAUAUUAAUGUAUUAUUGUAACUUUAUUUGAACAAUUAAUCUCGAUGUACUAUAUUUUGAAACUUUGAAUGUAUUAUUUUAGUUUUAUUUAAAUAAUUAAUUUGUUUAAAAUUUAUUCAAUUUUAAAUUUAAUUGGUAAUAAAAUUAUUUUUAUAUUAGAUUUUUUUUUUAAUUUCAUUAGUUCAUGGAUUGGGGAGAACUAAAAAUUUUUAAUUCGGAAGCUAAUGCGUAAAAUGGUGGAUUGGAUAUGGAUUAAGUUAAAUCCGCAUCCGAUCCGCAUACGUAUGGAUUGGAUAUGGAUUGAGUCAAAUCCGCAUCCGAUCUGCAGACGUAUGAAUUGGAUUUGGAUUGAGUUUAAUCAAUCUGUGGAUUGGAUUGGAUUGAAAAAUUAUAAUCCGCAAAAUUGUGGAUCGGAUAUGGAUUGAUGUCCAAUCCGUAAAAUCUGAUCCGCGAACAUCCCUAAGAUUGUGAUUGAAAUGCUAUAAGCAACUUAUUUUAUAAGUUUAGAUAAAAAUGAAGUUUGAUGGCUUUGUUAAAAGUUGCUUCUUUUAUAAUUUUCUCUAUUUUGACUGUAACUUUUAAAAACAGAACAAACAUUAUUUUUAUAAGCAACUUAUUAAACAAGUUGCUAUAUCUUUUUAAAUAUUCAUAUUAUAACCUUAAUAUUUUAAGAAAAGAAUAAUUAUAUCUUACUUUUCUAUAAGCUCUAAUAUAUAAAUAAAAGACAAUUUAAACUCAUGUUUAUUUUAGUCAUUAAAUAAUACAGCACAUUCAUAGUCAAAUUUACUAAACAUGAGCAAGAUACUUUUUUAAUCAUCAACUUAUUUCGUUCUCACAAUAGAAAUAACUUAUUUUAUCAUCCACUGCCAUCCUAAACUUGAUGUUAAGUCACGUUUGGGAUUGCAUUAGAUUGUCAAAUAAUCUAGAGAAAUAGCUAUUAAGGACGAAGAAUAGGAAGAGGUUCGCCAUAAGCAAUAUACUCGCAAGCUUGGCUACUAAUAAACAGAGCAUACAAGCUUAAACACCUAAUAUAUAUAUAUAUAUAUAUAUAUAGUAGUUUUUUGGCACAGGAUCUUAAAGUGCGGGAAACAUUAGGAAAAACUUUAAAACCGCGGGGUUUUAAAGGCUUAAUACUUAAAGCACUUAAACUGCACGGUUUAUGCGUUUUCCCAGACGUUCCCACACUUUAAAAUUCUAAAUUAGAAUAUUUUUAUGUGUGUGUGUGUGUGUGUGUGGAGGGCAAAUCUUUAACUACCUCCGGCUUAAAGGACCUAUACAGUAACUCUUAAAUCAAAGAGAGAAAAUAGUUAAUUCAAUCUGAUUGAAUAUGAAUUGAUAUUCACCAUAUGAUAAUUACAUAAAGAUUGAGCCUUAAGUGUUUUACAUUAAGUAAUACUGCACUGCACACUUGUUCUACACAUUUAGACAACCCAGAUUAAGAAUAAUGAAAAUGAACUCUUAAACUAGCUAGGUGCUCUAUUAUUUAUCUUUGCUCCAUAAAUAUUAGAAAGAUAGAGGAGAGGAAGAAAAAGAAAAGACUAAUUUUGCAGUCCCAAUUUAAUCUUAUGCUCUGAUUUUGAAGCAAAUCUGCAGAGUAUUUAAGGAUCCAAUCAUGAACCAUGUCCACUUCAAUCUUUCGCUGCAUUACUAACCCCUCUGGAUCAUCUUCUGUUGCUGGCUGUAUGUCUAAGCAAUGGGAACCUGCUCUAAUUUACACAUUAUUAAUUAUGUUAUCCAAUAAUUUAGUUAAUAAUUGAACACUAAUUUUUUAUUUUAUAGAAAAAUUUACAUACUGUUUCUUAUUGUCACUGCUAUUAUAUUGUCUGAUAUCUUCCAAAACCCUAUAAUCUCCCCCCCACCAAAAAAAAAGAAGAAAAAGAAUAAGGCAUAUAAUUAAACGGGUAACUUCGAUAGAAAAGAGUGUACAAAAUUUUUAAGCUUAAUUAAUUACCCAGCGCUGCUAUAGGGAUCACGAAAGCCAUUAGAGAAAAUAAGGCUGCUACCAAAUCUCUUUACAACCACUCUUAUACCCUGCAAAUUAAAAAGAAAUAAAAAUCGAACAAAAAUUGAGAUAAAAUUUAUAAUUAAAAAAGAAAAUGAAAAAAAUUAAAUUAUUAAAAGAAUUAAUUUGGGGAUUAAUUGACACUUACAUGACUACCGUAAUAAGUUGUAAUCCAAUGUGGUAUUGGAGCCACUCCAUAAGACUUAUUGCAUGAAUUCAUAUAUUCUAUCGUCUGCUUGAAAAUUGUAUUAUUUUUUUCAAUUCCAAUUGAUGAGACCAUUUCACUGCAUGUCUGCAUGAGAAAUCCCCCCCUCCCAAAACAAAAAAAAAAAUCAUAAUAAAUAAAUAACUAAAUAAAGGAGAAAACUAUUUUUAAUCAUUCAUAAAUAUGUAGUCUCAUAAAUAAAAUUAAAAGAUGUACAUAAAAUAGGUAUUGUUAGCUAGGUGAGAGAUUCAUUCAUCGCAACAUGUUGUUUGUUUGACGAUCUCAAUAGAAGUAUCUAAUGAAAUCAUGUCACCCGUAAUCACAUACCUGCCAGCCUCAGCUCGAGUCUAGUGUUUCAUCGGAUAAGAAUUCAUCAACAUCAUGGCAAGAAUUCUCCCAUCUUAAAGCAACAAUUCCUGAGAAUAUCCGGCCUAGGGUAUCCGUGCCUUCUGAAGCUCCAUGGAUACCUUCACAAGCUUUGCUCACUGGAUAUUCCUGAGGAUCAUCAUACUGAGCUGCACCCGUAUACAUACACUCUAAAUAAUCCUUCAAUUCUGAAACAUCCUUCAGAGGCUUGUAAUCAAAUAAACAACAACAACAUAGAAUUAAGUGCCACAAGGUUAGUAACAUUAUAAAAGAUCUUUCAACAAGCCGUCUAAAACAUGUUGUUAUAUUUAGUUAGAUUACAAUAAACUUUAUAAGUAUGAAGCUAUUGAUAUUAUCAAAUGCAAACGUACAAAUUUGGCCUUAUUUGAUAAUCAGAGUUGUGCGUGGUUUUGUAGUUCAAAUUUAGAUUCUGUAAGAUACGAACCUUUGGAGGCCUGAAUCUAAGCACCAGUAUACUAUAUAUAUAUGGUAAUGCAAAGGCCGUGUAUAAGCCCAAAUCCAGAUUUUUACUUUGUAUAUUACACGUUAAUCGAAAUGUAUAUAUACUCUGAGGAUGACAGAUAAUUAAUUAGACAUAGUAUAUUCGAUAAUGAUGCUACAAUAACAUUGCAUUAAUUGUAAUUAAGGGAAAAUCGGAUGGAUAUAUAUAAGCAGUUAUGUAAAGUAAUAUGAUUACUUUCUUGCAGGUUUUGAACUUUUUAGAGAGAAAAGCAAGUCCAUUUUUUCUAGCAGCGGUUUUAUCCAUUUCAGCCCAGGACUGUUUGAUGGUCAUGUAGCAGCUCUCCCUGGCUUCUUGCAUCAUUAAUUUUCAAAAUUUAAUGGAUUAAUUUUCAAAAUUUAAUGGUUAAAUUUUAACAAGAAAACACAAUCAUACAUAUAUAGAAUUUUAAUUAAUUAAUUUUAUUUCUUACCUUAAAGUCAUUGGUGACAAGAUCAUAAUAUGUGUUUGAGUGUGUGAUAUUAUCAAAAUAGAUAAUUGGGGCGGACGACGCAACUACUCCCAAAGCACUGUAAGAUGGUUAUUUUUUAAAACGUAAUUAUCUUAAAUAUAUUUAUUAUUUCUUAGUUUUACGAUUGCUGAAAGUAUUCAUUAAUUGGAAUGCAAAAUAAAUUUGUAUCAAAAUAAUAUUGGCGUAAUCAAUAUUUUGGUCAAACGAGAUCAAAAUGAAUAAAAUGAUGCAAUAAAUGACACGACAUUAAUCAAAAGAUGUAAGUAACUUAAUAAUAUUAAAAUUUACUUCCUCCAUAAGAUGCUGUCAAAUAAAGUGGCCAUUUAGAUGGUCUAAAGCAGCCAUCUAGAUGAUCAACAACAAUUUUGUUCAAAGAAGACGAAGAAUUUUGCAGCAAGUUUGAAAGAAAAAGAAGCACACGGCUUUAACAUUUGAAAGAAGAAAAAGAAGGUAAAAAAUAAUAUAGAAUUGAUGAAUAGUGCCAAAGCUUUCUCUAUAAAUAGAAACGAAGAGAAUGGGCAAAUGCAUUCCAUUUAGAAAGCAAUUUAGGGAGUUGAGAGAGAGUUCAAGAGCUUGCAUUUAUAAGUUCUUGUUACAGUGAUUGAGAGAGUUUGGGUGUAUUGGGGUUUUUGGGAAGUGAGCUAAAAUACUACAAUACUUGUAACUCUUUUUCACUAGUAAAAUAUUUCCUUCUGUCUUCGCCCGUGGAUGUAGGCUAAAAGCCGAACCACGUAAUUUUUGGUGUCCUCUAUUGUACUUGUUCUUUAUUUUCCUUCUAAUUUCAUUUUAGCUGCGGUCUUACUUCACCCUCCAAUCCUAACAGUGGUAUCAGAGCUAUUGGUUGUAUUUUUUAGAGUCAGGAACUGUUCACGUAAGGGGUACUAUUCACAUAUACGGUACUGUACACAUAUACAAUACUAUUCACGUAUACGGUACUAUUCACGUGAAACGGUGGAAGUGAUCCAAGAAUUUUGUGGUGCAAAGCAGGAAAUAGUGGUGUGAGUAAAGCAACUGUGUGAUUUUGUACAUGUCUAGGAAAGUUCUGUCACAAAGGCGAUAAGAGCUUAAGGAGUCUGGGUUUUAAGUGGGACCAUUGUGACCCCUCCAGUCUUUCCUGGGAACUUUCCUGGUGUGCAUUCUCACACAUACUCACAACUAUUCAAGGUGGUACACUAACUUGUGUGCAAUAUUUAUCAACAAAAUGGUGGCAAAGUAUGAAAUUGAGAAGUUUAACGGAAAUAAUUUUUCGUUGUGGAAAAUAAAGAUGAAAGCUGUAUUGAGGAAAAAUAAUUGUUUGGCAGCAAUUGGAGAAAGGCCCAUGGAGAUAACUGAUGACAAGUGGAACGAGGUAGACGGCAACGCCAUUUCUGAUCUACACUUGGCACUUGCGGAUGGAGUAUUAUCCAGUGUGGCAGAGAAAAAUACGGCGAAGGAAAUAUGGGAUACUCUCACAAAAUUAUACGAGGCCAAGUCACUACACAACAAAAUCUUCUUGAAAAGAAAACUCUAUACUCUUCGAAUGGCGGAAUCUACAAUGGUGACCGACCACAUCAACACAUUGAAGACUCUAUUUUGGGUCAUAAUAUAGAGGAAAAUGAGCGUGUAGAGCUUCUAUUUCAAAGUCUACCAGAUUCGUAUGAUCAACUCAUCAUCAACCUGAUGAACAACAAUCCAGUGGAGAGUCUAGUUUUCGACGAUGUUGCAGCCUCCGUAUUAAAUGAGGAGAGCAGGCGGAAAAAUAAGGAAAACAGACAAGCAAGUUCGCAGCAAGCGGAGGCGCUAUCGGUGACGAGAGGGAGAUCAACAGAACGUGGCCCCAGUAGGAGUCAAAAUUAUGGUAUAUCAAAAUCCAGAAGUAAGAAGAAUGUUAAAUGCUACAACUGUGGCAGGAAAGGGCACGUCAAGAAAGAGUGUUGGAGUAACCAGAAGAGAAGAGAUGGUAAAAAACAUGAGUCAUCAAAUGCUCAGGGGUGUGUAGCAAGUACCUCGGAUGAUGGCGAAAUACUCUACAGCGAGGCAAUAACUGUUUCAGAAGGCAGAAAACGACUAUCUGAUGUCUGGCUUAUAGACUCAGGAGCUACCUGGCACAUGACCUCUCGGAGAGAAUGGUUCCACACAUAUGAACCUAUCUCAGGAGGAUCUGUAUAUAUGGGUAAUGAUCAUGCCUUGGAGAUCGUUGGUAUUGGUACUAUCAAAAUUAAAAUGUUUGAUGGUACAAUUCGCACAAUUGGAGAGGUACGACAUGUCAAUGGCCUGAAGAAAAAUCUAUUGUCUUUGGGACAAAUGGAUAGUCAUGGGUACAAGACUCAUGUGGAGAAUGGAAUUAUGAAGAUCGUUAAAGGCGCGCUUGUAUUGAUGAAGGCAGAAAAGAUCGGUGCUAAUCUAUUCAUGCUUAAAGGAGAAACACUAUAGGAGGCUGAUGCGUGUGUCGCGUCAAAUGGAGAAGAGUCAACGAUGAUGUGGCAUCUCAAACUUGGUCACAUGUCAGAACAAGGUUUGAAGAUUCUCUCUGAGCGAAAAUUACUUCUGGGGCUCAAAUCGGUAAGUUUACCAUUUUGCGAGCAUUGUGUUACAAGUAAGCAGCAUAUAUUAAAAUUCAGUAGAUCUAUUGCUAGAAGUAAAUGCAUUCUAGACUUGAUUCAUUCUGAUGUUUGGGAAUCACCGGAUAUAUCCAUGGGAGGUGCAAAGUACAUGGUGACUUUCAUUGAUGAUUAUUCCAGAAGAUGUUGGGUGUAUCCAAUUAAGAAAAAGUCAGAUGUAUUUCUAGUGUUUAAAGAAUACAAAGCGCGGGUGGUGACACAACUUAAAAGUAAAUUUUAACUCCCAAGUAUAAGAGUGUCUUGUUGUAUUAUAACUCGGUGAGUCCGAGGUCGAUCCACAGAGAAAAGAUUUAAUUAGUUUAUUUUAUUUUAUCUAAAAAUUGAAAUUAAAACUUGAAUAUAAACAACUUAAUUUAAAUGAAACUAUGGAAUUGAACUAGUUAGGGUUAUGGAUCCACUCUUAGAAAUAAAUAAAACUUAAUAAAUUCUUUUUGCCAAUUUAUUUUAGAUUUAUUACCCAAAAGAUUAAUUAUACAAAUUAUUAUUAUUUUCCCUUUAAUUUUAUGAUGGAUUAAGUAUUUAUUGUGCCAAAAUUUAAUUUGUCUACAAUAAGGCAAAAUACCAUUUCACCAUGCCUUAUAUUAAGAUCUUAAGAAUUUAUUGUGCCAAAUUCAUUUGUUUGUCUACAAUAAAUCAAAAUUUCAAAAUAUAAAACAUGUAUAAAAUUAAAUAGAAAAUAAUUUAAUUUAUAAAAUUAAACAUAGAAUUUGAUUAAAUCAUAUUUAUUUCUUAAGAGUUUCACCUUCCCCUAACUAAUAUUAUUUAGUUAAGCAUAAUUAAAAUAAAAAGUAGUAAAAUUGAAUUACUUGUAAUUAAAAGAAAUAAAAACAACUAAAAUUGGAAAUAAAACUAAUUUUAUUAAUGAAAAUAAUUAUACAAAAUAUUAAAAACACACCUGGAAAUCAAGAUUACAAGGAGAUGGAGAGAAUUUGAGAAGAAGAGAGUUGUAGAGAGAUGAUUAAAACAUAAAAAUGAGGCCUUAUUUAUAGAAAAAUAAAUUCAUAAUCCAGUGCUUUGUGGUCCAUCAUAGGCUUCAUGCAUGUGCUCCUCACAACCCUUAGAUCAAGAUCCAAUGGCUGGUCAAACUUCAAAAGUCAACAUCACACAUGGCAUCAUUUGACUCGUCCGAUUUGCCCAAAGAACGGUUGAGAUUUGGCGGGUUAAUGGGUGGAUCGGGUCGACCCGAAUACAAAGAUUCGGAUCCUCCAACUUGCUUCACCAACCAUUGCCACGUGGCACAAUCAUGGCCAUUGAAUGAUGAACGGUUGAGAUUUAGUCAAGAUUGCCAGUUAUCCCAUGCACUCAUAUCUAUUGUAAGCUCAUUUCAUCAUCCAAUCAGUGCUCGGUCAACAGGAAAAGUCAACUUUUUUUACACAAGCCCAAUUUUAAGCCGAUCUUGACUGAUCUUAAGGUUUUCGGACCUCCGGAAUCCAAAUUUGACCUCCGUUUAUUUGUUUGGAGCCUCGAAGUACGUGAAAUUAAUAAUUUUCCUAAUAAACACAUAAAAAUACACAAAAUUAAAUAUAUUUAAAACAUAAUUAAUAAUUCAUAAUAUAUUACAUAAACACAAAUAUAAAUUAUAACAUAAGCAUAAAAUAACAUAUUAUCGCUUGAUAACUAAACAAUUUUUAAUACUAAUCACACCCCCCAACCAGCUUAUUGCUAGCCCUCUAGCAAUUAAAGCGUUAUAUUAAGAUUUAUAAAAUUCACAUGCAAGUUAAUAGUUGUUCAUCUAUCCUCUAAAUUACCAAAUAAAUGAACUCUCCCAAAUUCCUUUACCACAUUGAUGUUCACUCAUUAUCCAGAAUAUCAUCAAACCUUCUUUUGUGCUCAAGUAAUUAACACAAUACUUAUGGGGCUUCAUUAAAAGAAAAACAACAUUUUCGUUCUAAAAUUCAUUAGAAAUUAUAUCUUUAGGCAAUAGAUUAUUCACACAUUUUUUUUUUAUAUUACAUUUCUAACCCGUUUAGCAAGCUUUAGGUCAGUGACUCCCAGACCAGUUGGCCUUAGGGCACUAGGUGUUGAAGCACCCCUACGGACUUAAUUACUCGGGUUUCUAAUAAACAAACAAUAUAUCUAUUACCCAUGUAGCGAGCUUUAGGCCAGUGACUCCCAGACCAGUUGACCUUAGGGCACUAGGUGUUGAAGCACCCCUACGGACUUAAUUACUCGGGUUUCUAGAUAUAACAAAAUUAAAAACAUUUUUUCUUCUUCUUUUUUUUUGAUUUUUUUUUUUUGGUUUUUUUGUUUUUUUGUUUUUGGAAAUAUACACUUUCUACUACCUUAGAUACUAUUCCUAAUAAAUCAAAAGAACUAAAUGCUGUAAAACUUUAACUUACAACCCACUAGUAUGUGUCAUAGUGUGUGUGUGAAGAAUGAUUCAAUAAUACCUGUUAAAUGAGUAAACAAUUAAAUAACUUAAUAACCAAGUGGAGAGUUCACAAAUUUGAGUAAUUCAAAGAAAAGGGAACAAAAACAACUUACUAUGAAUCUCAAAAUCAAAAUAUAAUACAACAAGACUAUUAGGAUGCGUCUCAAAAGUCGUGACUCUUUACACGGCCAUCCUAGACAAAAAACAAAUUUUUUUUUUUUUGGUUUUUUUUUUAACAAAGAAAAGAAAAGAGAAAAGAGAAAAACAACACACAUAUUUAAAAUAUACGUCAAUUAUCCCCACCCCACAACCUAAUCUAAACAUUAUCUUAACAUUUUAUAAUUUUACAGAUAUGCAAAAAAAUAAAAAUAAAAGAGAAUAAUAAAAGAAGAAGAAGAAGAGAUCUCACCUGAACUUGAUGCAGAAGCUUAAAAGCAAAUAACAAAGAUGAAGAAAGAGUCAAUUUUUUUUUUUAACAACACCCUUAAGAUUAAGAAGAUGCGUUUCUAGAGAGACUACAUUCUCUAUAUCCUGCCAUCUUCGACUCAAAUUUGUCCUAAGUUAGUCUUUACAGAAAAAAAAAUUUUUUUUUUUUUUGUUUUUUGUUUUUUUUUUUUUUUGUAAACACAUAACCAGGACUAAGACAUUCCACAAUUAUCAACUAUUCCCUCCCCCCAACCUGAAAAAGACAUUGUCCUCAAUGUUUUAAAAGGAAAGAGAAAGAGUGUAGAAGACAUCACAUGAACACUACAACAGAAAAUAUUUACAAACGGAGAGUUAAAUCUAAAUCGCACUUCUUAUUAUUGCUACUGUUACCGUUACCGUCAUUAGUCGACCAAUUCAGUGCAACAGUCUGUGGAUCUGGCUCUGGUGUAUAAGCUUGCAAAAGAUCAAGUAACUCAUUAGCAGUAGAAGCAGAGAUAAAUAGUUUUUUUACAGAAUGUGGAACAAAAUGAUUCUUUAUUGCAUGAUUAAUAAAAGUUAGCAAGCCGUCAUAAAAAUCAUUAACAUUUAACAAACCGAUGGGUUUUUGAUGAAUGUUCAAGUGGGCCCAAGAUGCAAAUGUAAUUAGUGCCUCAAAAGUUGCAAGAUCUCCUGGCAAGAAAAUAAAAGCAUCAGCAUGAUUCAUCAUUUCAGAUAUUCUCUCUUGCAUACUUGAUACCACUAAUUCUUCUCCAAUUGGUGGGCCAGACAUGCACACUAGCGGUUUCAUGGGUUUUGGGAUAAUGCCGAGUACUUGGCUUCCUCUGGUAAAAACAGCUUCUGAGACAAGUCUUGAUAACCCUCGUUCACCUCCUCCAUAUACAAGAUGCAGUUUCCUCUCUGCUAUGACACGACCAAGAUCUACAGCUGCCUGAACGAACUCUUUGUACUUUCCAUAGUGAAACCCAGAAAGCACACAAAUGUUUUUGAAUUGUUUACUCGAAGAUGAUGCCAUUGGACUAAUUUUUCAAAAACAAGUUGUGAGUGUUUGAAAAAUGAGCUCAUAUUUAAAGAUCUUGGUAACAUAAAUAAUGAGAAACAGCUGUAAAUGGGUUGGCAAUAUUUGUCAAAUGACGAGUAAAACUCGUGGCUCAAUAAUUCAAAAACAAACAGUAAAAAGAAAGUAAUGAUUAGAAAAAGCAAACAGUAAAAGAAAACCAAAUAUUUAUUAAAUACAAAAUCACAUCGCUAAAUGCAAUAAUGCAAAUGAUAAAAUAACAGUAAAGUAAAAUAACAGUGAAGUGAAAGGAUAUUUACUGGUAGUUGUGAUUGUGGCUCACAUCUUCCUCUGGUUUUACGUCCAGUAACGGCUUGAACGCCCUCUAUGGGUCGAGGAUCGGCUUCCCAUCCAGUUUUCUUAUAAACUGGCAAACAGGGUCUUUUUGAGUCAGAUUCCCAAGACUUAACUGUGCACUUUGUUUUUGGAAUAGUAUCCACAAAUUGUAAAUCUCACGUUGCACAAUUCCGCUUCGAUGCGUCUCAAGAGAUCGUAAGAUAUCAUCCAACGAUUCUUUACUCAUGCCAUCUUUAACGAAUUUAAUUUUAUCUUCACGAGUAUCAGAAACCAUUCCUAAAGAUUUACAAUCUGGUCGUUUGCAACCAAGUCUCACACAGUUAUGACAUUUUGAGCCAAGUCGUUUAGCUCUCCUUUUCUUAGCAAACGUACUUUUACCAAAACCAGGCAUGUAAGAAACAAAUUGACCAGAAAACUCACCUGCUAAUCGGACCUUUGCUUCAAUUAACCAACGAAUGUCAGAAGGAAUGCCAUUGAUCAUUAACAAACGCAGUCGUUCACAACGAGCUUUGUAAAUUUUCCUGAGGGCAUUCUGAGGGAGAGAGGGAAAAUGCUUAUGGAGUUUAUGUUGUAUUUCUUCCAUGUAUGAUUUUGGGGUUUCAGUUAUUGUGGGAAACUGAAGAUACCGACUUAAGAAGUCACGGAGUACCGUUAUCCGCCAUUUAUACGGGAAAAUAGAUCAAAACACACCAAAAUCAAAUCUGCAAAAUCAAAUCAAGCGUGAAAGCGAGUAAAAAGAAGCACACAAUAUAAAAGGAAAAUGAACUUACAUUCGUCCUCUCAUUGAGUUAACCUCAAGCUCCAUUUGAAAUUCAUAUAUGCCACUCUCUACUGUUCUGAGUUGUCCCUCUAGAUCCUCAACAUAGGACACGAAUUCUGGUGGUUGCAGAUCCCAAAGUGGAUGUGAUUUACAGCUUUGUAUCAGGCCUCUUAAGUGAAAUUUUAUACGCCGAAAUCUUUUAAGAUGUGCGAACAGGUAUUUUCUCAUUGAGGUGCUCAUGAUGUAAAAUGAAAAUUGAUGAGAGAAUGUACAACUGUCAAACAAACACGCUUACACAAGAAAAACAAUGUUAAAAAAAAAACUAUGUACAGUGCAUCAAUCUAAGGAAAAAAAAAAGUCAAACAAUGAAACGGUAAAAUAAUAGUAAAACAAAAAAAAAUCAUUAAAAACUUAAUCAAGAAUUGGUGGGUCAUCCAAAUUAAUUUCGGUGUCCUCGUCACGUGGGUGAUGUUCCAGAUAUGGUUUUAAUCUUUGACCAUUAACUUUAAAUGUGACACCAUUAUUUGGAUUCUCAAUUUCUAUGGCCCCAUAUGAAUAUACAUUUUUUACAACAAAUGGGCCACUCCAUUUUGACUUUAACUUUCCUGGAAAUAAAUGAAGACGAGAAUUAUAAAGCAACACUUUUUGACCAAUCUCAAAUGUUUUUCGAAAAAUUCUUUUAUCAUGAAAUGCUUUUGUUCUUGCCUUAAUAAUUCUUGAAUUUUCAUAUGCAUCAUUCCUUAAUUCCUCAAGUUCAUUCAAUUGCAAUUUUCGCACAUUACCAACAUCAACCAAAUUUGAAUUAAAAGCUUUAAUAGCCCAAAGUGAUUUAUGUUCAAGUUCAACAGGUAAAUGACAAGGUUUACCAUAAAUUAACCGAUAGGGUGACAUUCCUAAUGAUGUUUUAAAUGCAGUGCGGUAAGCCCAAAGUGCAUCAUUAAGUCUAAGAGACCAAUCUUUUCGGUUUGGGUUAACCGUUUUUUCCAAAAUUUGUUUUAUCUCCCUAUUUGCUAAUUCAACUUGACCAUUUGUUUGAGGAUGAUAAGGGGUAGCAAUUUUAUGUGUAAUUCCAUAUUUCUUCAUUAAAGACUCAAAUGACUUAUUACAAAAAUGCUUACCUCCAUCACUGAUAAUGGCUCGAGGGAUUCCAAAUCGACUUAAAAUGUUUUCUCUUAAAAAUUUAAUCACAGUUUUACUGUCAUUAUUUCGACAAGAAAUUACUUCAAUCCAUUUUGAGACAUAAUCAACUGCAACUAAUAUAUACACAAAUCCAAAAGAUGAUGGAAAUGGACCCAUGAAAUCAAUUCCCCAACAGUCAAAUAUUUCAAUUUCAAGUAUGGGAUUUAAGGGUAUCAUGUUUCUUUUUGUAAUUGAUCCCAAUUUUUGACAUUUUUCACAACUUUUGCAAAAUUCAUAUGUGUCUUUAAACAUGGUAGGCCAAUAAAAUCCACACUGCAAAAUUUUAGCAGUAGUUUUUCUUGAAGAAAAGUGACCACCACAUGCUUCAGAAUGACAAAAAUUAAUGACACUACUUACCUCAUUAUCAGGAAUACAUCGCCGAAAAAUUUGAUCUGGGCAAUAUUUGAACAAAUAAGGAUCAUCCCAAUAAAAUUUCUUUACUUCAACAAAAAAUUUCUUCUUCUCUUGAGCAUUCCAUUGCAAAGGCAUUUUACCUGUAACAAGAAAAUUAACAAUAUUAGCAUACCAUGGCAUUGAAGUAACAGAAAAUAAAAAUUCAUCAGGGAAAGAAUCAUUUAUGGGUGUUAUAUCAUUGCAGAAUUCGGAUGUGAGUCUUGAUAGAUGAUCAGCAACAACAUUUUCAGCACCCUUUUUAUCUUUGAUGGUAAGGUCAAAUUCUUGUAGUAACAAAAUCCAACGAAUUAAUCUCGGUUUGGCAUCCUGUUUACUCAUCAAAUAUCUCACAGCAGCAUGGUCAGUAAACACAAUAGAUUUAGAGCCAAGCAAAUAUGAACGGAAUUUGUUUAAUGCAAAUACCACAGCAAGUAAUUCUUUUUCAGUUGUAGAAUAAUUCAUUUGAGCACUAUCCAAAGUCUUGCUCGCAUAAUAAAUCACAAAAGGCUUACCAUCCCUUCUUUGUCCUAAAAUAGCACCAACAGCAAAAUCACUUGCAUCACACAUUAAUUCAAAUGGCAAAGACCAAUCAGGAGAUUGCAUAAUAGGUGCAGAUGUUAAAAGACAAAUUAUUUUUUCAAAAGAUUUUUGGCAAUCAUCAUUCCAUUCAAACGGUGCAUCUUUUAAUAAGAGGUUACAAAGUGGUUUAGAUAUGGCACUAAAGUUUUUUAUAAACCUCCUAUAAAAUCCUGCAUGUCCUAAAAAGGAUCGCACAUCUCUAACUGUUUUUGGUUGUGGCAAUUUAGAUAUGACUUCGAUUUUUGCUUUGUCAACUUCAAUUCCUUUAAUAGAAACAACAUGACCCAAAACAAUUCCAGAAGUAACCAUGUAGUGACAUUUUUCCCAAUUCAACACGAGUUCUUUUUCAACACAUCUUUUUAAAACUUUCUCCAAAUUAUCAAGGCAAUCAUCAAAAGAAUUCCCAAACACAGUCAAAUCAUCCAUAAAGACCUCUAAACAAUGUUCAACCAUAUCACAAAAAAUGCUUAACAUACAUCUUUGAAAUGUUGCAGGAGCAUUACAAAGCCCGAAUGGCAUUCUUUUAAAUGCAAAUGUUCCAAAAGGACAUGUGAAUGUGGUCUUUUCUUGGUCCUCAAGUGCUAUAGGAAUUUGAUAAUAACCUGAAUAUCCAUCUAAAAAACAGUAGUAGGGAUGUCCUGCUACUCUUUCUAAGAUUUGGUCAAGGAAUGGUAAUGGAAAAUGAUCUUUUCUAGUGGCUUCAUUUAAUUUUCUAUAAUCAAUGCACAUGCGCCAACUAGAUGUAAUUCGUGUUGGAAUUAAUUCUCCUUUUUCAUUUUUAACAACAGUGAUUCCAGAUUUUUUUGGCACUACUUGUGUAGGACUUACCCACUUACUAUCAGAAAUAGGGUAGAUAAUUCCCACAUCAAGUAAUUUAAGGACUUCUGUUUUGACUACCUCUUUCAUGUGUGGGUUUAAUCUUCUUUGAGGUUGUUGACAUAUUUUAGCAUUUUCUUCCAAAUUAAUUCUAUGUGUGCAGAUUAAGGGAUUAAUGCCUUUAAUGUCAUUUAAAGUCCAUCCUAUUGCAUUUUUAUGCUUUUUAAGAACAGUUAGUAACUUACCUUCUUGGUCGCUUGUUAAAGUAGAAGAAAUCACAACAGGAUAAGUUUGUUCUUCUCCAAGAAAAGCAUAUUUCAAUCCUUCAGGCAAAGGUUUCAAUUCCAUUUUAGGUGCUUCUUGUUGUUCUGUCUUUUCAAUACUUCCAAGCUCCUCAAAUUUUGGCUCGUCAUCAUAAUUUUGCGAAGUCUGCAUAGAAUCAAGCAACGAAUUUAUAUUAGAAAUAUCAAGUUUAAGUUGCUUAUUUGACUCAAUUGAAUUAACUAAACAAACAUUAGAAAGUUCAGAAAAAUCCCCUUUUUGAAUAUUUUCCUCGAUACAAGAUUCAAACAAUUCCUUUUGUUCAUCAAUAUCAUCUUCAUUCUCAUUUUCUUCAUUAGGUUGCCUGCACAUGUUGAAAACAUUCAAUUCCAAAGUCAUAUUCCCAAAGGAUAAAUUCAUUAAACCAUUCCUACAAUUAAUCAAAGCAUUAGCAGUUGCUAAAAAUGGUCGACCUAAAAUUACAGGAAUUGGUUUGUAAUUAUUCACAACAGGUUCAGUUUCCAAGACAAUAAAAUCCACAGGAUAAAUAAAUUUAUCAACUUGUACUAAAACAUCUUCCACUAUUCCUUUUGGUACUUUAACGGAUCUAUCGGCAAGCAAAAGUGUAGUUGAAGUUGAUUUUAACUCACCAAGAUUAAGUUGAAGAUAAACUGAAUAUGGAAGCAAAUUAACACUAGCACCAAGAUCUAGUAAAGCAUGCUCAAUUCUGUGGUUACCAAUAAUACAAGAAAUGGUAGGACAACCAGGAUCUUUAUAUUUCAACUUAUUAUUAGUAGACAGAAUUGUACUUACCUGUUCGGCCAUGAAAGCACUCUUUCUUACCUUCAAUUUCCUCUUAACAGUGCACAAGUCCUUUAAAAAUUUGGCAUAUGAAGGAACCUGCUUGAUUGCAUCUAAUAGAGGAAUGUUAACUUUCACUUGCUUAAAGAUUUCAUAAAUUUCAGAAGAGUGGUUUGAUUUCUUUGGUUUAUUCAAUGCAUGCGGAAAUGGUGGUUCAAGUGGAACACUAGUUAUUUCUUCACUAGGUGUAAGUUCAUUUAGUCAUUCCUUACCCUUUGAAUUUUCAUAAGGUUCAGGCAUAGGUCUAUCAACAACCUUACCACUACGAAGAGUUAUAACUGACUUGACUUGGUCUGUGGGUGAAUUUUGUUGAAUUUUAGGAUUUGGUUGUGGUUGGGCUGGAAAUUUUCCUUUUUCUUGAAUGGUGAGUGCAGAAGCAAUUUUAGCAAGAGUAUCUUUCAAAUAAAAAAAAGUUUGUGCAUUUUGAUUGUUAAUAACAUCUUGCUUUCUGAUGAAUGAAUGCAUUGUGUCCUCCAGAUUUUUCCAAGGUGGUGGAACAUAUGGUGCAUAAGGAUGAGGAUUUUGAAAAUUUUGUGGAGGUGGUGCUUGUGAAGAUUGUGCAUUAUUAUUAUUCCUCCAACUGAAAUUCGGAUGAUUUUUCCAACCAGGAUUAUAAGUCUGUGAAUAUGGGUUUGGUUUAUUGAAAGUGUUAAUGACAUUAGCUUGAUCAUUUAGACAUUCUUUAAGUGCAGGCAAAGUGGGACACUCUUGAGUGAAAUGAUCAUUCGAAUUACAUAUGUUACAUGCAAUUUCUUGAACAGAUUUUACUUGAUCACUCUUUUUAUGCUCCAAAGCUUCAACUUUCCUAACUAGGGAUGCAAAUUUUGCUUGUAAAUCAUGAUCUUCCCUAAGGUUAUGGAUUCCUCCACUAGAUGGAGAUGAUUGUUGCUUAUUUGUCAAUUCAAAAGUUCCAACAGUAUCCCAAUGUUGUGCAUUUUCAGCUAAUUGGUCAAGGUAAUCUAGUGCAUCUUCAGGAUUUUUAUCCCUAAAUUCACCAUUACACAUCAUUUCAACAACCUGUCUACUUUGGGGUAUUAAGCCUUCGUAGAAAUAAGUGACCAAUCGCCAAGUUUCAAAACCAUGAUGUGGGCAUAUGUUAAGCAACUCUUUAAACCUAUCCCAACAUUGGUAUAAUGUUUCUCCAUUUUUUUGAGUGAAAGAAGUGAUUUGCCUUUUAAAAGAAUUUGUUCUAUGAGGUGGAAAGAAUUUUUUCAAAAACUGUUCUUGCAUGUUAUUCCAAGUUCUUACUGAUCCAGAUCUAAGGUUUUGUAGCCAAGUUUUAGCUUUAUCUUUUAAUGAAAAAGGAAAAAGCUUUAAUCUAAUUAUGUUCAUGCUACAAUUUUGGUCCGUGUAUGUAUUACAAACUUCCUCAAAAUCUCUUAGAUGCAAGUACGGAUUCUCAGAUUCUAAACCAUGAAAUGUUGGUAAAAGUUGGAUAAUACCUGGUUUAAAAUUGAAUCGAGAUGCUUCUGGAUGCUCCGGUUCUGGUUGGAUUCAUGUAGUCUCUCAGAGUCCUUGGUUGAUUCUGAUCGUGCCCAUGUUGAGAUUGGUUGUCUCCCUGAUCAAUUUGAGGAUUAAGUUCGCCCAAAACAUUUUCGCCUUCAUUCUCAUCCAUGAUUGGUGGUGGAGAUUGAGAUCUACGAAUUAACCUGCCACUUGAAGAUCGAGACCAACGUCUCAUGCAAGGGUUAUGUUAUAAAGAUAAUAUUUACACAAAUUGAUAAUAAAAUAAAAUAAAAAAUUAAAUAUGCAAAUAAUAUAAGUGUACAAAAGAAAAUUAAAUAACAAUUUUGGUGGUUGAACCCACCAGUUAACAAUAUAAAAUAAAUGCAAAAGAAAGAAAAAGAAAAAAUGGUAGUUAAACCCACCAAUAAAGCAAAAAAAUAAAAUAAAAUAAAAUAAACGCAAAAUAAUAAAAUAAAUAAAUAAAAUGGUGGUUGAACCCACCAAUAAAAAAAAUAAAGCAAAAAAAAAUACAAAAUUAAAUAAAUACUGAAAAUAAAAAUUAGGAGUUAGUAGUUAGUUUGGUGGUUGAACCCACCAAUAAAGCAAAAAUAAAUAAAUACGAAAUUAAAUAAAUGCAGAAAAUUAAAUAACUGAAAUUAAAAAAGUUAGCAGUUAGCAGUUAGUAAGUUAAGAGUCAGUAAUUAGAGUUAGUAGUUAAAGUUAGUUUAGUCCAAAAUAUGUUAGUUUAGUCCAAAAUAUGUCCAAAUAUGUUCAAAAUAUGUCCAAAUAUGUCCAAAAUAUGUCCAAAGUAUGUCCAAGUCUUAAUUAUUUUGAGGAAUUUCGUCUAGGGAUUCUAUUGCAAAUUAUUUUUAAUUUUAUGGUCAAACUGUAAUUUUUAGAAGUUUAGAAUUAGUAAUUUGGGAUGAAAGUGAAACAGUUGAAAGAUAUCGGGGUCCGAACGUAAUUACCAGAAGAUUGGGCUGGAAACGGAAAUUGUUGGGGUGAAACUAGAAUUAUGAAAGAUAUGGGGACAAAAGAGAAUUUAAGAAAAGAAAAAGGGGGUAAACGAAAUUUUACAUAUAAGAGAAAAAUAAAAAACGGAAAAACAAACCAAAUAAAAAAAACUUUUCCCCGGCAACGGCGCCAAAAACUUGACACAUCUUAAAAGUAAUUUUUAACUCUCAAGUAUAAGAGUGUCUUGUUGUAUUAUAACUCGGUGAGUCCGAGGUCGAUCCACAGAGAAAAGAUUUAAUUAGUUUAUUUUAUUUUAUCUAAAAAUUGAAAUUAAAACUUGAAUAUAAACAACUUAAUUUAAAUGAAACUAUGGAAUUGAACUAGUUAAGGUUAUGGAUCCACUCUUAGAAAUAAAUAAAACUUAAUAAAUUCUUUUUGCCAAUUUGUUUUAGAUUUAUUACCCAAAAGAUUAAUUAUACAAAUUAUUAUUAUUUUCCCUUUAAUUUUAUGAUGGAUUAAGUAUUUAUUGUGCCAAAAUUUAAUUUGUCUACAAUAAGGCAAAAUACCAUUUCACCAUGCCUUAUAUUAAGAUCUUAAGAAUUUAUUGUGCCAAAUUCAUUUGUUUGUCUACAAUAAAUCAAAAUUUCAAAAUAUAAAACAUGUAUAAAAUUAAAUAGAAAAUAAUUUAAUUUAUAAAAUUAAACAUAGAAUUUGAUUAAAUCAUAUUUAUUUCUUAAGAGUUUCACCUUCCCCUAACUAAUAUUAUUUAGUUAAGCAUAAUUAAAAUAAAAAGUAGUAAAAUUGAAUUACUUGUAAUUAAAAGAAAUAAAAACAACUAAAAUUGGAAAUAAAACUAAUUUUAUUAAUGAAAAUAAUUAUACAAAAUAUUAAAAACACACCUGGAAAUCAAGAUUACAAGGAGAUGGAGAGAAUUUGAGAAUAAGAGAGUUGUAGAGAGAUGAUUAAAACAUAAAAAUGAGGCCUUAUUUAUAGAAAAAUAAAUUCAUAAUCCAGUGCUUUGUGGUCCAUCAUAGGCUUCAUGCAUGUGCUCCUCACAACCCUUAGAUCAAGAUCCAAUGGCUGGUCAAACUUCAAAAGUCAACAUCACACAUGGCAUCAUUUGACUCGUCCGAUUUGCCCAAAGAACGGUUGAGAUUUGGCGGGUUAAUGGGUGGAUCGGGUCGACCCGAAUACAAAGAUUCGGAUCCUCCAACUUGCUUCACCAACCAUUGCCACGUGGCACAAUCAUGGCCAUUGAAUGAUGAACGGUUGAGAUUUAGUCAAGAUUGCCAGUUAUCCCAUGCACUCAUAUCUAUUGUAAGCUCAUUUCAUCAUCCAAUCAGUGCUCGGUCAACAGGAAAAGUCAAUUUUUUUUACACAAGCCCAAUUUUAAGCCGAUCUUGACUGAUCUUAAGGUUUUCGAACCUCCGGAAUCCAAAUUUGACCUCCGUUUAUUUGUUUGGAGCCUCGAAGUACGUGAAAUUAAUAAUUUUCCUAAUAAACACAUAAAAAUACACAAAAUUAAAUAUAUUUAAAACAUAAUUAAUAAUUCAUAAUAUAUUACAUAAACACAAAUAUAAAUUAUAACAUAAGCAUAAAAUAACAUAUUAUCGCUUGAUAACUAAACAAUUUUUAAUACUAAUCAGGUGGAACUUGAAUCUGGUAAAAAGAUCAAGUGUUUGAGGACAGAUAAUGGUGGAGAGUAUACAAACGGCGAGUUUCUUGCUUUCUGUAAGCAAGAAGGUAUUCAGAGGCAGUUCACAGUGGCAUACACUCCUCAACAAAAUGGAGUGGCAGAGCGGAUGAAUAGAACUCUUACAGAACGGAUAAGAGCUAUGUUAAUGACUGCUGGUCUACCCAAUUCAUUUUGCGCAGAAGCAGCCAAAACUGGCUGUUAUAUAGUAAAUCGAUCGCCAUCUAUAGCUAUUGGGCUGAAGACAGUGAUGGAGAUGUGGACUGGAAAGCCAGCUAAUUAUUCCUACCUACAUGCAUUUGGAUGUCCUGUGUAUGUGAUGUACAAUGCCCAAGAAAGAACAAAGCUGGAUCCAAAAUCUAGAAGAUGUAUCUUCUUGGGGUAUGCUGAUGGAGUAAAAGGGUAUCGUCUGUGGGACCCCACUGCCCACAAGAUCGUCAUCAGAAGAGAUGUUAUCUUUAUAGAAGAUCAACUGCAAAUGAGAGAUGAGGAUGAUGGCACUGCAAAAGAAAAGUCAAAGAUUGUGCCGGUAUAUGUCGAAAAUAAUCUAAAAAAUUUAUAUUCUUCUGAAGCAGUACCAGAGCACGAGGAACAAGAACCAGUCGAGUCCGAGGCUCCAGAAGUUCGUUGGUCAAUGUGGCACUCGGAGUAUGUCACAGAAAUCAAUGUUGUAUACUGUCUUCUAACAGAGGAUGGAGAGCCUUCAACUUUCCAUGAAGCUUUAAACAGCUCAGAUGUUGCUUUGUGGAUGACAGCAAUGUAGGAAGAAAUUGAAGCUCUACACAAGAACAAGACAUGGGAACUUGUACCACUACCACGUUGUAGAAAAGCCAUUGGAAACAAAUGGGUCUACAAGAUCAAACGUGAUGGCAAUGACCAAAUGGAGCGGUAUCGUGCAAAAUUGGUGGUGAAAGGAUAUGCUCAGAAAGAAGGUAUUGAUUUCAACGAGAUAUUUUCGCCGGUGGUUUGACUCACAACAGUCAGAGUAGUCUUGGCGAUGUGUGCUACAUUUGACUUACAUCUUGAGCAGUUAGAUGUGAAAACUGCAUUUCUUCAUGGAAAACUUGAAGAAGAAAUAUAUAUGCUCCAACCAAAAGGUUUUGCAGAAACAGGAAAAGAGAACUUGGUCUGCAGGUUGAAUAAAUCUCUAUACGGUCUCAAACAGGCGUCGAGGUGUUGGUAUAAGAGAUUUGAUUCCUUCAUUAUGAGCCUUGGAUACAACAGACUCAAUUCAGACCAUUGUGCAUAUUACAAGAGGUUUGAAGAUAGUGAUUUCAUCAUUUUGCUGUUGUAUGUGGAUGAUAUGUUGGUAGCAGGUCCCAACAAAGAUCGAGUCCAAGAAUUGAAGGCACAGUUGGCUAGGGAGUUUGAAAUGAAGGACUUGGGACCAGCAAACAAGAUUCUAGGGAUGUAAAUUCACCGAGACAGAAAUAACAGGAAGAUUUGGCUUUCUUAGAAGAAUUACUUGAAGAAAAUCUUACGACGCUUCAACAUGCAAGAUUGUAAGUCAAUUUCUACCCUACUUCCUAUUAAUUUCAAAUUAUCCUCAAGUAUGUGUCCAAGCAAUGAAGCAGAGAGGAAGGAAAUGUCUCGAGUACCGUAUGCAUCAGCAGUGGGAAGUUUGAUGUUCGCUAUGAUAUGUACUAGACCGGACAUUGCACAAGUAGUGGGAGCAGUCAGUCGAUACAUGGCGAAUCCUGGUGGAGAGCAUUGGAUAGCUGUGAAGAGGAUUCUAAGAUACAUUAGAGGAACCUCAGAUGUUGCAUUAUGUUAUGGAGGAUCAGAGUUUACUGUCAGGGGCUAUAUGGAUUCAGAUUUUGCAAGAGACCUUGAUAAAAGGAAAUCCACUACUGGUUAUGUGUUUACACUUGCGGGAGCAGCUGUAAGUUGGGUUUCGAAACUGCAGACCGUUGUGGCUUUAUCUACAACAGAAGCAGAAUACAUGGCAGCUACACAAGCUUGCAAGGAAGCUAUUUGGAUACAAAGAUUAUUGGAGGAGCUAGGGCACAAACAACAGAAAAUUCCUGUGUUUUGUGACAGUCAGAGUGCCUUGUACAUUGCAAGGAAUCCAGCCUUUCAUUCCAGGACAAAGCACAUAGGAGUUCAGUAUCACUUCGUUCGUGAAGUAGUGGAAGAUAGAAGUGUGGAUUUGCAGAAAAUCCAUACCAAAGAGAACCUAGCAGAUGUUUUGACCAAGCCGAUAAAUACUGAUAAGUUUGUCUGGAGUAGAACCUCUUGUGGCUUAGCAGAAACGUAGGCAACAUGAUUAUGGCGAAGCAGAAAGGAUGGUGUGGAGAUUGAUUGAUUCUCAAUCUAAUCUCCAAGUGGGAGAAAUGUCAAAUAAAGUGGCCAUCUAGAUGAUCUAAAGCUGCCAUCUAGAUGGUCAGCAACAAUUUUGUUCAAAGAAGACGAAGAAUUUUGCAGCAAGUUUGAAAGAAAAAGAAGCACACGGCUUUGACAUUUGAAAGAAGAAAAAGAAGGUAAAAAAUAAUAUAGAAUUGAUUAAUAGUGCCAAAGCUUUCUCUAUAAAUAGAAACGAAGAGAAUAAGCAAAUGCAUUCCAUUCAGAAAGCAAUUUAGGGAGUUGAGAGAGAGUUCAAGAGCUUGCAUUUAUAAGCUCUUGUUACAGUGAUUGAGAGAGUUUGGGUGUAUUGGGGUUUUUGGGAAGUGAGCUAAAAUACUACAAUACUUAUAACUCCUUUUCACUAGUAAAAUAUUUCCUUCUGUCUUCGCCCGUGGAUGUAGGCUAAAAGCCGAACCACGUAAUUUCUGGUGUCCUCUAUUGUGCUUGUUCUUUAUUUUCCUUCUAAUUUCAUUUUAGCUGCGGUCUUGCUUCAUCCACCAAAUUUCCUAACAGAUGCUCCAACAACGAUAAUAGGAGACAUUUCGGCUGAUAAAUUUUCCUUAAUGUGUAAGAGAAUCUUUGCAUAAUCUGCCAAAGCUUGACCAGAGUUGAAAUAUCCACGAAGAGUUGCAUUCUUUAGGGCAUCUUUGCGUGAUAUAAAAGGUACUGAUUUUCUAUAGAACCGAUGCUGCAUAAAAAAUCGAAUUAAAGAAAAAAAAUCCAUCACAACUUUUCAGUUCAUAUUGUAGAAUAUUCUGAUUAAGAUUUGUCUUUAUUAUUAUUAUUUUGUAUGGGAACUCUAUUUCAAUUAUUAUCAAGCUAGCCUGAUAACAGAUUCUUUACUUACCUCUAUGUAAACUUGUAAGGCUUUAAAUCAACGAGCAUUAUCAGUAAGCCAUCCAGUGCCACCAAGGUCAUCAUCAAGACUACUCUCUUUACCAAGAUAUGCCAAUAUCGGCGCCGCCGUGGCUCCACCACCACCCCAAUGUUUGAAGUUCAACACAUAUCUAUGAGAAAAAGUUAAAUAACUUUGUGGAUUAUAGUUAAAGUGAUCAAGUAUUUGAUCAUCAUAAUAAGUUUCGAGAUCACCCUUUGGUUCUGAAGUUAAUAUUUUUUUACUAGGGUUUAGAAAAAUAGUCUUUCCACGCACAACACCAAGCUUUGGGAUGUUUUUUAAUGGUGAAGUGGAAGCAAAAGCAAAAUUUGUGAGGAGAAGAAGAAAAAAGGCAUGGAAGCCACCGACCUUCCAUGGCAAAGUUGUAAAUCCUUAAUUAGCAGGAUGAUUAUGUAAAUACAGAAGAAAUAGAAUUAAGAUUCGGUUAUAAAUUCAGCUUCAGAAUCGACGUGUUUUUUAAUCUAUUCUGGAUUUUUUAUUAUCCUAUCAUAUAAUCAUUGGUGGUUUUAGUUUUAUAUUAGUAAUGAUCUUUAGUUUUCAUAAAAUUAUGGUUUUUCUAAUAUAUAUUGUUAUCAGUUUCGUAACUAAAUACGUUGCGGUGAAAAUUAUUAAGUCUUUCCUUAGUAAUUAACUAACUUGACAUACGUAGUUCUAAUGGUUGGACACAUAUUUCUAAUUUAAUUAACUUGUAAUUAAUUAUUUGCUAGUAAUUAACUUGAUUUAGUAUGUGGUAAAUACAUAAUUUUGAUAAAAUCAGUAAAAAAAUAGUAAAUUUUCUAUCAUGUAAGUGUAAAAUUAAAGAUAUAAUUUUUUUUAAUUACAAUAGCUAAUAUUUACUUGAUACUUUAAUACUGUAACUUUUAAACUAAGCUACCCAAACAUGGUUGUAAUUUUCUAUAAUCAUGCUACCAAAGAUGUCAGGAUUCCAAUCAUUGUUUACGAGGCUACUAUAUAUGUUAAUCAUGCUAAUGCUAUAAGCCUUGGAUUGGAAGUAAUGUAAAUCCAACCGUUGGGUAACGUAGCUAGCCUAAUUACACUUUAUUAAGAGAACAAUACAAUUAACAAUAGUCUCACAUGAAAGGGUGGCAAUUCAUUAUCCGAAUUUGUGAAUUAGACACUAACACAUCAUAUCGAGAAGAUUUUUUAUGACUAUUAUGACAACUUGUUCACGUCCAACAAACCAUCCCAAAGCCAAAUGGAGAAUGCACUGAAGAUCUGCCUCGCAAAGUCACUGAAGAGAUGAAUGCCCAGCUAAAUCAGCCCUAUACAGAAGCAGACAUCACAGAAGCUUUGAGCCAAAUGCACCCUACAAAAGCCCCUGGUCCAGAUGGCCUUCCAGCUGCUUUCUUCCAAAAGCAUUGGAAAUCAGUAAGUCAAGGUGUUACUACCACAUGCUUGCAGGUCCUAAAUAACAAAGGUAACCCUACUCCACUAAAUCAUACUUACAUAGCUCUGAUUCCAAAGGCUGAAAAACCUAAGAAAAUGGCGGAUUUUAGACCGAUCAGCCUAUGUAAUGUAAUUUAUCGGAUAAUUACAAAAACCAUUGCCAAUAGGUUGAAGCUGGUUUUGAACGAUGUAAUCUCACCAGCUCAAAGUGCCUUUGUUCCAAAUAGGCUCAUAACCGAUAACAUAAUUAUUGGUUACGAAUACUUACAUAAAAUAAGGCUUAGUAUGGGGAAAAAACAUGGGCUAGUGGCUUUGAAAUUAGACAUAAGCAAAGCAUAUGACAGGGUGGAAUGGGACUUUUUGAAAUGUACCUUAGAAAAAUUGGGAUUCUCGCUUGGCUUUGUUGAAUUGAUAAUGCAAUGCAUAACUACCUCUUCAUUUUCUGUGCUGAUAAAUGGGGUGGCUAAAGGGCUGAUCCAACCUCAAAGAGGAUUAAAGCAAGGAUGCCCAUUGUCCCCAUAUCUUUUUAUUCUCUGUGCAGAGACUUUUACAAAUCUUUUACAGCAAGCAGAAUCUCAGCAACUGAUUCAUGGGAUAAAAUUCAGCAAUGAACUUUCCAUCACUCAUCUUUUGUUCGCUGAUGAUAGUUUGAUUUUUACAAGAGCCACAAGGGAGGAUUGUACAAAUUUAAAGAAGAUUUUUUAGUGUUAUGUUGCAGCCUCUGGGCAGAUUUUCAAUUUCGAGAAGUCGUCUAUGUUUUUCAGUGAGAGUACCAAGCCGUAGCAGAUUUCCUCAAUUACAACCAUCUUCCAAAUUCAGGUGGUAUCCAGGCAUGCAAAAUACUUAGGGCUGCCCUCCAUGGUGGGUAGAAAUAAGACGAGUUUUUUUAAGGAUAUCAAACUCAGAGUUCUUGGAAAGAUUUCGAGCUGGCAAGCAAAUUUGUUCUCUUGUGGGGAGAAGGAGGUGUUGAUAAAUGAUGUAGCUCAAGUGGUGCCUGCAUAUGCCAUGAGUGUGUUUAAGCUCCCCCUAGGACUUUGUGAUGACAUGCAAAAGGCAAUUGCUAGUUUUUGGUGGGGAAGCAGCCGAGAUCACAAGUCAAUCCAUUGGUCGAAAUGGAAUAAUUUGUAUCAAGCAAAGAGUAGAGGUGGGCUGGGAUUUCGAAACUUGUCCAGCUUNNNNNNNNNNNNNNNNNNNNNNNNNNNNNNNNNNNNNNNNNNNNNNNNNNNNNNNNNNNNNNNNNNNNNNNNNNNNNNNNNNNNUUUUAAAAAUUCAAGUCUGAUGCAGGCUCAGUUAGGCUCAUAUCCUUCCUUUAUAUGGAGGAGUAUUUUAUGGGGUCGAAAUGUAUUAGAAAAAGGGUUGCGCUGGAGAAUUGGAAAUGGUGAGCAGCUGCUAGUGUAUCAAAGUCAAUGGAUUCCUCGAUCUAUAACUUUUCAGCCAAUAUCCCCCCCAUCAUUGAGCCCAGAUACAAUUGUUGCAAAGCUGAUAAGUGAGGAGCAAAGCCGGAAAGAAGCUGUAAUUAGGCAACAUUUUCUAAAAGAAGAUGCUGAUCAAAUUUUGAAAAUCCCUUUGCCAAGACAACCAAAACCUGACCAAGUGUUGUGGCACUAUGAUAAGAAGGGUAAUUAUUCAGUUAAAAGCGGUUACCAAGUGGCUAUGAAAAUGAAUUUUCCUGAGAAGCCAAGCUGCUCGAGUGAGAAUGAUAAGUAUUGGCAUGCUAUUUGGUAUUUGCAACUUCCGGAAAAAGUUAAAAUCUUCAUGUGGAGGGCGGCAAAUAACUUGUUGGCAACGGCAGGAAAUCUUUGGAAGAGGACAGUGGUGCAAUUCCCUUGGUGCCAGAGAUGUAAGUUAUCAAAGGAGACUAUUUUUUCACACUCUCUAUGAAUGCAAAGCUUCAAGGAAAAUUUGGAGGCUAACCCCUUUUGGGGAGGAUAUUGAGUUUAGCAAUGGAAGAGAUGUUCUAAGCUUGCUGUAGGAUUUGAAUGGAAAAAGGAGAAAAUCUGAGAUGGAACUGAUUGUUGCUGUGUGCUGGAGCAUCUGGCACUCAAGGAAGCUUUUCCUCUUCAAAAACAAAAAAGAAGAUCCCCAGCUAUCAGUUGCAGCAGCAGAAGCAAUGGUGCAAUCUUAUAGCAGAAUCCAAAUGCCCCAAAUGCAAAGUAACUCCCAGCUGAGUACUGCUAAUCAGAAACAAUGGAAACACCCUCCAGAGGGCUGGUUCAAAGUUAAUGUUGAUGCAGCAGUAGGAGUGGAACAACAAAGAGCUGGCCUGGGAAUUGUUAUAAGGAAUUCAGGAGGAAAGUUUAUAGCUGCAGCAAUGAAGCCCUCAAAGUUUAUUGGCAAGAUUGAUUUUGCAGAAGCUGAAGCUAUCAGGCUCGGGCUGGAGAUAGCAGAAAAUGUUGGAUGCUUUCCACUAAUUGUGGAAUCUGACGCCCAGGAAGUGGUGGACUUAGUCAAUUUCAAGAAAAGCUCAAGAGCUGAAAUAUUCUGGGUUGCUUCUGAAAUGCAAGACCAAGUAAAGAGGCUGAACCAGGUGAAAGUAGAAUAUACCCCAAGAGGGUGCAAUACAUUAGCUCAUUCUCUUGCAAGACUAGCAUUAGAGCUAAAUGAUUUUGUUUUUUGGGUAGAAAAUAUACCCUCAAAUUUUUUGUACCUAUUCACACAGUUGGAUAAAUGAAAGUAAUACUUUCUCUCAAAAAAAAAAAAAAUUAUCAUGUCAAAUCUCUGUAUCCUCUUCACUAAUCAAUUCGUUUUUGCACUUUGACUUCCCCACAGGGAAUUCUUAAUUAAUUAAUUUAUUUUUUUAAAUAAGUGCAAAAUUUAUCCCGCCGAGUAUAAUCAAGGGGUGCACGUCAAGACAAAACAAGCAACAGCUGCGACAUGGUUUCAGAGUCAUAUCAUCUAUAAGCCAAACGUGUGUCUGCUCAAUUAGACACCAUAACCUCUAAAGACAAAACAAAUGCAUGCAACUUACCAUAAAAAGAUGAAUGACGAAGUCAUUAUGCAAACUAGAAGAAAUGUAAACUGAUAGGCAAUAAUUGAAAUAAGAUGCGAAAUUAUUUAUAACACAAUUAACAAUUCAACAAUCAGAUGUGUUGAUUUAUUUUCAAUCUGACUUAGACACUAUGUUAUAUUUUAUUAUGUUUUAAUAUAUAUAUAUAUAUAUAUAAAUAAUCAAAAAAUUAUAUAAAAUUCACCAUGAAAAUAAGGAAAACGAAAAAAAAAAUCGAACGGGCCCGCUGAUGGAUCACCAAUGAACGAAAAAGAGCAACUGAAACAAACGAAAUGCAAUGGCAUUUUGGGGAAUCUAUCAAAAGCUGAUACCCUUUUUGCCGAUUCCCAGCCAACCUCUAUAAAUUGCCCGCAAUUGGAAAAAUUCGACCAAAAAAAAAAACAAAUUCACUUCAAAAAGUUCACACACACUCACACACACGCGCGCGCGCGCGCGCGGAAGCCUACUUCUUCUUCUUCUUCUUCUUCUUUCAAUUCUCUGGUAAAACGCAAUAUUUUUUUGUCGUUUUUUCUUCCUGUUAAUACUUAAUGCUUGGGCGUUUUGUGUAUAAUGGAAAUGGAGUCUCGUGUCUGAUUUAUUAUCGCAGGGAACGAUGAAUUAUGCUGAUCUAAAUCGACGUAUCACCGUUAAGGUAACUAUAUAAUUUUUUAAUUUCAAAUUCAUUUCUUUCUUUUCUUUUGUUUUUUAAAAGAGUAAUAUUAGCUUCAACUGUGAUGCUGUUCAGUAGCAGUGCUGACCUUUUUAUUCAUAAAUGUCUUCAGAUAUUUCAUAAUAUGGAAUAUUCUUCUUUAUUCUGUUCUAUUUAUUUACUGGUUUUAAUGUACAUAUUGUCGAGGAGCUAAAUACGCGAGUAUAAAAAUUAACUUCAACUGAUAAUUGGUAGUCUGAUUAUGCCAUUAGUUUUAUCGAGUCCACGUUGAUUCAGUUUGUUGUUUGAUUUUUAUGUGGAACUGUUACUUGAUUAUACAUGAACAUUCACUUGUGCAAAUUUAAUAAUGCCACAUUAUUUAAUAUUUAAUUUUGAAGGCCACUUUUUUAGUUGAGGGCAGGGAACCACUACGAUUCCAUAACACGCUCAUCUAAUCACCUUGACAAUAAGACUUCUCCUAGUCGGCAAUUAUUUAGAAAUAACGUCUUGACAUAUGCUGCGGAAAUUAAAGAAUGAAGUAGACUUACGAAGUCAAGGUGUUUUUCUAGUCUACAUAUUUUAAUUUGUGUAGAAAAUUAGAAAUAUUCAAUGUAUAAUCUGAUUCUACACAAAGACUAAUGCCCCAAGAUUGUGAUUGAAAUGCUAUAAGCAGCUUAUUUUAUAAGUUUAGAUAAAAAUGAAGUUUGAUGGCUUCGUUAAAAGUUGUUUUUUUUAAUAAUUUUCUCUAUUUUGACUGUAACUUUUAAAAACAAAAUAGAGAUUAUUUUUAUAAGUAACUUAUUAAAUAAGUUGCUAUAUCUUUUUAAAUGUUCAUAUUAUAACCUUAAUAUUUUAAGAAAAGAAUAAUUAUAUCUUACUUUUCUAUAAGAUCUAAUAUAUAAAUAAAAGACAAUUUAAACGCAUGUUUAUUUUAGUCAUUAAAUAAUACAACACAUUCAUAAUCAAAUUUACUAAACGUGAGCAAGAUACUUUUUUAAUCAUCAACUUAUUUCGUCCUCACGAUAGAAAUAACUUAUUUUAUCAACCACCGCCAUCCUAAACUUGGUGCUAAGUCUCGUUUGGGAUUGCAUUAGAUUGUCAAAUAAUUAAGAGAAAUAGCUAUUAAGGAGAAGAAUAGGAAGAGGUUCGCCAGAAGCAAUAUACUCGCAAGCUUGGCUACUAAUAAACGAAGCAUACAAGCUUAAACACCUAAAAUAUAUAUAUAGAGAGUAGUUUUUUGGUACGGGAUCUUAAAGUGCGGGAAACAUUAGGAAAAUUUUUAAAACCUCGGGAUUUUAAAGGCUUAAUAAUUAAAACACUUAAACUGAACGGUUUAUGCGUUUUCCCGGACGUUCUCGUACUUUAAAAUUCUGAAUUAGAAUAUUUUUAUAUGUGUGUGUUGUUGUCCAAAUUUUAAUGUACUCGCAAGCGCACGAAUCUAUUGUUGUAUAGAUCAAUGGUGACGAGUGUCGAUCCCACGAGGAGGUGGAUUUUAAUUGUGUAGAAUUAAUUUUGUAAAUGGGUGAUUGGAUUUGUGGUGGAAAUGAUUUGGAAUAUCCUAAAACUUAAAUUAAAAUGGCGAGAAUAAAUUCUAAAAUUGGAAUUGAAAUUACGAGAAUAAAUUGAAGAGAAUUCUAUUAAAAUGACGUACUUGGGUAUCUGGAUCCGUAUCAACAUGCAUCAUGGGCUAAAUAAUCCUUAUUAAUGCCAAUUAAAUCAUGAGGGGGGAAUCCACACCUCAUGAACCACACUCUAAUCAAUAUGGUGCUAAGGGCUUAUCGUGCCAAAUAAUAAUAACCUUGUACUAGAGGGCCGGUGAAACCAAGGCGGUACUAGACAAGAUUAGUAUUAUUUGUCGACGAGAAGUCAAAACAUCCACAAAAACUAGAGGGGAAGAGAAAAUAAAUUUACCAAAUAAAACCCAUGACACAUGUUGAGACUUCACUUUCAACCCAAGCUUGAAAGAAAAUUAGCUACUCAUAAUUGAACUAGGGGCAAAAUGAGAAUUUAUUAAAAUACGAAGAAACUACAAGAUGGAGAAGGAAUUACAAAAAAUAGAGUCCAAAAAUGGAUUCAGAGAUAUCAAAUUAUGGGGGAGAGGCCCCCUUUUUAUAGAUACAUCAAGUAAAUCAUGGCCAUCGGAUUAAAAACAGUUUGGACGCUCAGGAUUGCGCCACGUCAUCAGUCAACAGUACGCGGUUUGACCACGCGGAUGAACAGUAACACGGUUUGACCUAGAUGAAUAGUAACGCGGUUUGACUCGGAUGAACAGUAACGCGUUUGAUUGAAAAUAAUCCUGUGUGAUGCAUGUACCGUACGCGAGAUUUUUCGUCCACUGAUAGGCUGCCACGUCACCAUCAACAGUACAUAAGAAUUUUAGCCCAACAGGAUCGUGACACCUCAUCAGUCAAUGCCACAUCAUCGGUCAAUGCCACGUCAUCAUCCGUCUAUGUGAACAAUGUAGUGAACAGUAACGUAGACAGUACCGUACACGUGAAUAGUACCGUACAUGUGAAUAGUGUCAUUUUUCCUUUUAUGCUCCUCCUAAGGUUUUCGACCGUCCUGAGUUCAAAAGUGAUGUCCGUUUUGCCGUCUGAUCUCUCCUUUAUUGUAAAAUGACUAUAAUGCCCCUAAAAUACAUAAAAUACUUAAUUAAAAUAAAACACAUGUAAUUAAAUCACAAGAAGGUUAAAUACAUAAAAGUAAGGGUUGUUAGUAAGACUUGAAAUGUAAAAUGACGGUCUUCUCUUUUAUAAAUUUACAUUUUCUAACACUCAACACACCCCCCAACCAGCUUAUUGCUAGUCCCUAGCAAAUAAAGCGAAAACAAAAUUCAAAUUCAAAAUAAAUUUUUUUUUAAUAAAAACACUCGUAUUUAUUCCAUUAGAUUAAUAAUAGCAAUCAAAUAAAAGUAUAAGCAUUAUCUCCAGUCUAAAGCAACAUCACACCCACAUCAACCAUCCACAUGAAUCAGCUCAGUAGACUUUGUUAUAGCUACUUUCAAGAAUGACAUGUCAAACCCCAAAAUCUCACUGGAAGUAGUGACACUCUCACAAAGAAAUUAAAACCAAUAAAAAUAGUCACUCCAAUGAAUGGUAAUUGAGAGAGAAAAUAAUAAAGAAGUGAUAUCACAUGCUCUCACCAAGAUGAAAUAAAUAUGCCCUCAGCUUAGAAAUAAUACAGUCUCAAGUCAAAUAAAAAUGCUAGUCAACCCAAUUUAUUUAUCUUUUUUUUAUAUUUAUUUAUUUAUUUUUAUUAUGCACCACUACAUCUCUUUAGCCCACAUAACUAGCUUCUACUUCAAAUUAUAGUUCCCUAAAAUCAGGAAGGACUUUUAUUAGGAUGUAACGUAGGCUAGGGACAUGGUUAACAAAGAAGGGAAAUAAGGAAAACAAAGUAUAUGUUUGAGAAAAAUGCAGAGGACUUUUUUUUUUUUUUUGGGAGUUGCAAGGUGGAUUUCACCUAUUAUUGUUAUUUUUAUUCUUUUGAAACAACAAUUUUUUUCUUUUGUUUUAGCAACAACAAUUUUUUAUUUGAACUAGGCAUAACUUCAUUGUACAAAAUGUUUAUUUACAUUUUUCUCAAACAUAAAUAGGUGAUGGAACUUAUAAGACAUCGGGUAAUACUCCAAAUCGGAGUGGGUCAAGAUGAUAAGUUGACAAAGAAAAGGUUUUUUUUUUUUUUAAAGGCUCAAAAGGGUUAACUAUGGAUAUUUAAUAAAAGGGAUGGCUAGAAAGGCUCAAACGGAUCAAAGAUGGCCUUUCCAUCGUCUUUUAGGGCUCUAAAUAAUCAUCCAUAUCUACUAGUUAGACAGGCCUCCAAAUGUAGCAACACACUUUUUUUUUUUAAUUUUACAAUUUUUUUUAAGGAUUAACUUAAAAGAAAUCUAAAGAUCGUGUAUAAAAUAAUAAACUGCUAAACUGUAUAGAGAAUGGGCAAAAGGGUUACUCUCCAAGAAAAUAAUAGGUUCAACAACUCACUUGGCACUUAUUUAUGACAUGUUCAUUCCUUCAAGCAACUCAUAUUUGUCUCCGACAUCAACAUGUAGAGUAGCAAACAUAAUGUAACAUCACUUAAGACCAAAGAUAAUACAAAUACUAAAAUUUGAAAUUAAUCAUGUCAUCCAAUGUUAAAACAAAUCACACAAUUUUUUUUUAACAACAUUCUACCCCCCAACCUAUUCUAAACAUGAAAGGAAAAUAUGCAUGCAGAAAUGUGAAAAUGAUGCAUAAAAACUAAUUAGAAAAGUUACACGUAAAAUAAUAGAAAACAAAGAUGGUUUUUUUUUUUUUAAAGAUGCGUUUCUAGAGGCACUACACUCCAUAUUCAGCCAUCUUCGACUCAAAAGUUGGAAAAUGUAUAUUUAUAGAGGAGAAAUUAAAAAGAAGAAGAAAAAUGAACAUCAAAACUUAAUAAAGAAAAAAAAAUUAUUUUUAAUUUUUUUGUUUUUUUAAUUAAUUAAUUUUUUUUAAAACAAUGAAGAUGCGUUUCUAGAGUCACUAUCCUCCAUAUUCAGCCAUCUUCAACAUAAAAAGUUAGCAAUAGUUAGUUUCUACAACAAACAAUUAGUAAAAACUUAACCAAAAUUCCACAAUUGUCGACUAUUCACUCCCCCCAACCAGAAUGAAACAUUGUCCUCAAUGUUUGAAAGGAAAGAAGUAGAGUUUAGAAGACAUCACCUGGGUGGUGCAACAUAGAAAAUAAUAUUUACAAGCGGAGAGUUAAAUCUAAUUUGUACUUCUUACUGCGGCUACCGUUACCAUCAUUAUUUGGAUGCUCCAACACAAAGGUCCAGGGGUCUGGCUCCGGUCUAUAAGCUUGUAACAUAUCAAGUAGCUCAUUAGCAGUGUGAGCACAAAUAAAGAGUUUUUUCGCAUUAGAGGGAAUGAAAUAGUUUUUUAUUGCAUGGUUAAGAAAUGCGAUAAAGCCAUUAUAAAAGUUAUUGACAUUUAACAAACCGAUGGGUUUUUGGUGGAUAUGCAGAUGGGCCCAAGAUGCUAGUGUGAUAAGUGCCUCUAGUGUUGCAAGAUCUCCUGGAAGGAAAAUAAAAGCAUCAGCAUGAUUAAGCAUUUCAGUUAUUCUUUCUUGCAUACCUGAGACGACUAACUCUUCUCCAGUUGAUGAGUUAGACGAACUGCCCAAUGGUUUUAGGACUCUUGGAAUGAUGCCUAACACUUGACUUCCUCUGACAAAAGCUGCUUCAGAGACCAUUUUUGAUAACCCUCGGUUACCUCCUCCAUACACCAAGUGUAAUUUUCUCUCUGCUAUACUUCGACCAAGAUCGAUGGCUGCCUCAACGAACUCUUUAUGUUUGCCAUAGGUAAAUCCAGAAAGCACACAAAUGUUCUUGAAUUGUCUAUUUGGAGUAGCUGCCAUUAUGAUACUUCUCAAAAAAUAAUUUGUGAGUGCUUGUAAAAAAAAAAUCACAUUUAAGAGCCUUGGUGACAGUGGGUCAUAGUUGUGUAUGAGGUAACAUGUCAGUGUCAAAUAACGUGUAAAGCACGUGGCUCGCGAGUCAAAAAGGAAACAGUAAAAGGGAAAAAGCAAACAGUAAUAAGGAAAAAGCAAACAGUAAUAAAAUUAUUAAAGACAAUAAUGCACACAAUAAAACAAUAGUGAAAUAAAAUAACAGUAAAGUGAAAGGAUAUUUACAGAUAGUUGCGACUGUGGCUCACAUCUUCCUCUGGUUUUAAGUCUAGAAACGGCUUGAACGCCCUCUAUGGGUCGAGGAUAGGCUUCUUAUCCAGUUUUGUUAUAAACUGGCAAACAGGGUCGUUUAUAGUUAGAUUCUCAAGACUAUAUCGUGCAUGCUCUUUCUGGAAUAAUGAUCAUAACUGGAGAAUCGCUCCUUGCACAUAUCCACUGGGAUGCGUUUCAAGAGACAAAAUGAUAUCAUCCAAUGACUCCUUAUUCAAGCCAUCCCUAAUGAAUUGAAUCUUAUCUUCCCUGUUAUCAGACAUCAUUCCUAAAGAACAUGGGUUUUUAUUGCAACUCAUUCUGGCACACUUAUGACAAACAACAGAAAUUCUUCGAGCUCGUUGUUUUCUUGCAUAAUUUUCUUUACCACAACCAGGCAUGUAUGCAAUAAAUUUUGGAGGUAACUCACCUGCCGAUCGUACUUUCGCCUCAAUUAACCAACGAAUAUCAGCAGGUAUGUUAUUCCUCAUGAGCAAUCGCAUGCGUUCGGACCGAGCUUUAUAGAUCGUAAGGAGGGCAUUCUGAGGAAGUGAAGGGAAUCGCUUGUAAAGCUUCGCUAGAAUCUCCUUUCUGUCCAUACUUUCGCCUCAGAAUAUCAGUUAUUAUGGGAAACUGAAGUAACCGACUUGAUUAUCACGGAGUACCGUUAUCCGCCACUUCACCAAGGUAACAAACUAAAGCACACAAACAGAAAAACAAAUUAAAACACAUAAAGAAAAUUAAAAUCGUCCUCUUAUUGAAUUCACCUCAAGCUCCAACUGGAUGUCGUAAACACUUCUCUCAAUAUCUCUGAGUUGGCUUUCUAGACCCUCAACAUAGGAUACUAACUCUGGUGGUUGACACGUUGAAGUGGUUUAAGAAUGUUCAGGAGGAAUGGUCUAAGUAAGGUACUCAUGAUUAAAAAUGAUAAGAGAAAACUUAAUAGUUAAACAAACACACUUAUGCAAAAAUAAUUUCAAUUAGCAAAAGAAUAAUAUAAAGAAAGAAAGAAAGAAAAAAUCAAAUCACUGAAAAGAAAAAAAUCAAUUCAAAUUUGGUGGGUCACUCAAAUUUAUUUCGAUGUCUUCUCCAUGUGGUUGGUAUUCUAGAUAUGGCUUUAAUCUUUGAGCAUUAACUUUAAACAUGACGCCAUUCUUUGGGUCCUUAAUUUCAAUUGCCCCAUGUGGAAAAACAGUAUGAACAAUAAAGGGACCAGACCAAUGAGAGCGUAACUUACCUGGGAAUAGGUGCAAGCGAGAAUUGAAUAAAAGUACUUUCUGACUUGGAGUGAAUGAUUUUCUCAUAAUUUGCUUGUCAUGAAAGACUUUCAUCCAUUGCUUGUAAAUCUUGGCAUUUUCGUAUGCAUCAUUGCGAAUUUCUUCAAGUUCUGCCAGUUGUAAUCUUCUUUCUGAGCUGGCUUGCUGCAUGUCAAAGUUGAAUUUCUUGAUGGCCCAAUAUGCACGAUGCUCGAGUUCCACAAGUAGGUGGCAAGCUUUUCCAUACACUAGCCUGUAGGGUGACAUCCCAAUCGGGGUCUUGAAAGCCGUUCUAUAUGCCCAUAAGGCAUUAUCAAGUCCUAAUGACCAAUCUUUUCUGUCCGGCCUCACCGUCUUUUCUAAUAUGUGCUUUAUUUCUCGAUUGGAGAUCUCAACUUGGCCACUGGUUUGUGGAUGAUACGGGGUCGCCACUUUGUGUGUGAUUGAAUACUUUGUCAAAAGAGCUUUGAAUGCUUUGUUACAAAAGUGGGCACCACCAUCACUGAUUAUUGCUCAAGGGAAUCCAAAGCGUGAGACAAUAUUGCUUUUCAAAAAUCCUAUCACCACCUUGUGAUCAUUGGUUCUGCAUGGAAUUGCUUCUACCCAUUUCGAUACAUAGUCAACAGCAACUAAUAUGUAUUGAUGGCCAAAAGAAGGGGGAAAGGGUCCCAUGAAGUCGAUACCCCAUAUAUCAAAAAUCUCAACCACUAAAAUUGAAUUUAGUGGCAUCAUGUUCCUUCGUGUAAUGCUCCCCAUUCGUUGACACCUAUCAUAUGAAGAACAGAAAGUGUAAGCGUCUUGAAAUAUAGUUGGCUAAUAGAAACCACAUUGCAAAACUUUAGUAGCUGUUUUCUUAGCACUGAAAUGGCCUCCACAAGCUUGUUCAUGGCAGAAUGAAAGGAUAUUCUGAAUUUCACUUUUGGGACACAUCGUCUAACAAUUUGGUCUGCACAAUACUUGAACAAAUAAAGGUCAUCCCAAAAGAAAUUCUUUAUUUCUGCAAAAAAUUUAACCUUGUCUUGCUUGGUCCAAUGCUCUAGAAGUUUACCUGUAACAAGAUAAUUAACUAUAUCAGCAUACCAAGGUAAUACUUCCACAUUCAUUAAUUGUUCAUUUGGAAAUGACUCAUUCAAUGGUAAUGAUUCUGUAAUUGUGUCAAAAUGGAGACGAGAGAGGUGGUCCGCCACAACAUUUUCUGUCCCUUUCUUAUCUUUGAAUUCCAAGUCAAAUUCCUGCAAAAGUAACACCCAACGAAUUAGUCUAGCUUUUGCAUCUUUCUUUGUAAGAAGAUAUUUAAGAGCAGCAUGAUCUGUGAACACGAUUAUUUUACAACCAAUGAGAUAAGAUCGAAAUUUCUCCAAUGCAAACACUACUGCUAGCAUUUCUUUUUCAGUAGUUGAAUAGUUCAACUAUGCAUCAUUCAAUGUCAUACUAGCAUAGUAAAUAACGUGGGAAAUUCGAUCAACUCUUUGUCCUAAUACUGCUCCUACUGCAUAAUCAGAUGCAUCACACAUGAGCUCAAAUGGUAAGCUCUAGUUCGGGGCCUGAAUGAUGGGUGAUGAUGUCAACAACUGCUUUAAUUUUUUAAAAGCCACAAGACAUGAAUCAUUAAAGAUAAAAGGUACAUCAUUAGCAAGUAAAUUGCAUAAGGGUCUAGAAACUUUGCUAAAAUCUUUAAUGAAACGUUUAUAGAAACCAGCAUGCCCAAGGAAAGAUCUUACUUCUCUGACUGUUUUGGGUGGAGGAAGAUUAGAAAUGAGAUCCACCUUGGCUUUGUCAACCUCAAUACCUUUGCUCGAAAUGAUGUGACCGAGAACAAUACCUUGUUUUACCAUAAAAUGACAUUUCUCCCAAUUUAAAACCAAGUUCUUCUCAAUACAUCUCUGCAGAACUAAUGUUAGAUGAUGUAAACAUUGAUCAAAUGAAUCACCAAAGACAGAAAAGUCAUCCAUAAAGACUUCAAGGAAUCGUUCAACCAUAUCAGAAAAAAUGCUCAACAUGCAUCGUUGAAAUGUAGCAGGUGCAUUACAUAAUCCAAAUGGCAUCCUCCUAUAUGCAAAAGUGCCAAAAGGGCAAGUGAAAGUAGUUUUCUCUUGAUCUUUUGGUGCUAUGGGAAUCUGAUUAUAUCUUGAGUAGCCAUCUAGAAAGCAAUAAAAUUCAUGGCCUGCUAAUCUAUCAAGCAUUUGAUCGAUAAAGGGUAAAGGAAAAUAAUCUUUACGUGUGACAGAAUUCAACUUUCUAUAAUCAAUGCAAACACGCCAUUCUGUAGUUACUCUAGUGGGUAUCAAUUCAUUAUCAGCAUUGGUAACUACUGUGACUCCUGACUUUUUGGGGACAACUUGUACAGGACUGACCCAUGAACUAUCAGAAAUUGGGUAAAUGAUACCUGCAUCUAAUAGCUUAAGGACUUCUGUUCUAACAACUUCUUUCAUAUUAGGAUUUAACCGACGUUGCAUUUCCCUAGUAGAUUUAGCAUUUUUAUCAAGGUGAAUGUAAUGCAUGCAAUCUACUGGAUUUAUACCUUUUAUGUCUGCUAUGGUCCAUCCUAAUGCUCCUUUGUGCUCUUUUAAAACAUCCAACAACUUACCUUUUUAUUCGUCAUUUAGGGAUGAUGAGAUGAUUACCGGUACAGUACUUUCUUCUCCCAAAAAUGCAUAUUCCAAAGUGUUGGGUAAUGGUUUGAGCUCAAGUUUCGGUGGUGAUUCUGAUGAUGGGAUGAGUUUCUUCUCUGAUGGUGCUAGUUGCUUAACUCUUGACUUCUAUUUAUCAGUGUCCAUAGAUGGUGUUGAGUCAAGUAGGGCGUUGACCUCAUCGACCGAUCUGUCAAUAUCAAAAUCCAAACCAAAGUGAGUUAAACAUGUUUGUAAAGGAUCAUCACUAAGGUUUGAAACAAAAGUAUCAUCAACUAAUGCUUCAAUUAAAUCCACAUCAACAAUUCCAUCAUCUGCACUGUGAGGUUGUUUGGCAAUGUUGAAGAUGUUCAGCUCCAUAGUCAUGUUGCCGAAGGACAACUGCAUAUUUCCGGUCCUGCAUUGAAUGUGAGCAUCCACAGUUGCCAAGAAAGGUCGGCCUAGAAUAAUGGGGAUGUGCUUCCUCGAGUCCUGUAUUGGUUGAGUGUCAAUUACAAUGAAAUCAACAGGAAAAUAAAAAUUGUCUACCUGGAUAAGCACGUCCUCCACAAUACCAUGAGGUAUUUUUGUGGACCGAUCUGCAAGUUGUAACACCACUGGAGUUGGGUGUAAUUCUCCAAGUCCAAGUUUCACAAACACUGAAUAAGGUAACAGAUUUACACUAGCUCCUAAAUCCAACAAAGCAUUCUCAAUUGUGUGGUUCCCUAUGCUACAUGAGAUAGUAGGGGAGCCCGGGUCUUUGCAUUUUAAAGGAAUUUUGUGUUGGAGUAUAGAACUAAUGUUUUCUGUUAAAAAUGCCUUAUUUUGAACAUGCAUAUUUCUUUUUUUAGUACAAAGGUCUUUAAGAAACUUGGCAUAAGAUGGAACUUGCUUAAUAGCAUCAAGCAAAGGGAUAUUAACACUUACCUGUUUGAAGAUUUCAAGAAUCUCACCUGUGGAUUUUCCCUUUUUUCCUUUAGCUAACCUUUGAGGAAAUGGAGCUUUCGGAACGUAUUCUCAUGAGUUGUUUUCUUCUUUCUCCUCCGGUGAUGAGUACUCAACAUUCACAGGUACAAUUUGAUUUUCUUUUGUCACCAGCAUCUCCACUUUGUUGUCGACUUCUUUUCCUUUUCGCAAUGUCAUGACUGCUUUGACUUCUCCAUGCUGUUGUGGUGAACUGGUACUUGCUUCAUGUACUUCUUUAGGAUUAGGCACGGGUUGACUUGGAAACUUGCCUUUCUCAACAGUCAUUGCCAAGGUCUGAACUGAAGAAGCAAGUUGUCCCACCAUCUUCUCGAGGCUUGAAACUGAUUGGGCUUGUGAGUUGAAGCCCGCUCUCAAUUCAUUUCGUAGUCCAUCAAUGGUGCGGUUCUGUUGCUCAAUCGUGGAGUGAGUAACAUUCCUGAAAUUCUGGAAUGCAUCCUCCCAUGGUCUAGGUUGAGAGUGGUUCUGGUUCUGAUUGUAUGGUCUGAAUGGUGGCUGAGAGGCUUGAGGAAUUUCAGAAAUUUGUUGCAUUGGUGGAGCUGGAGCUGCUGGUCCAUUCUGUUGGAAUCUUUGAGACCAUGAAAAAUUGGGGUGGUCUCUUCAUCCAGGGUUAUAUGUGUUGGAGUAUGGAUUGUAAUUUGAUGGCUUUCUCAUUACACCUAUGGCAUUGGCUUGAUCAGAGUAUGACUCAGGGUCAUGUGGUUCUGUUGAUUUAGCAGUCGAUAACGAUGCUAUUUGUCGAGCAAGACCUUCAACCAUCUCCUUGACUUCUUUGAAUCCCGAAGUUGACUCGCGAAUGUGAACCUCAUUUACUCCCUUAAUUCUUCUAGUAUUCCUGAAUGAUCGACUCCGUUGUUGGGAAUUAUCCGCUUGUCGCUGGAAGAAUUCCCAAAUCUCUGAUGCACUUUUUGACAUUAGCUCUCCUCCACUUGUUGCCAUUAGCCAUUCUUGCACAUUUGGUAGUGAUCCCUCCAAAAAGUAUUGGCAUUGGUGCCAUUUCUCGUACCCAUGAUGUGGACACUUCAAGAGUAGCCCAUUGAAUCGCUCCCAUGUUUCGAAAAACUGCUCGUACUCUCUCUGAGUAAACUCCGAGAUUUCCCUGCGAAUAGCAUUGGUUUUAUGCACUGGGAAAUAUUUAUUCAAAAAUUUAGUUACCAUUUGUUCCCAUGAUGAAAUGCUAUUGGCAGGCAAUGUAUUAAGCCAUGAACGAGCUCUAUCCUUUAAAGAAAAUGGGAAUAAUCUGAGUUUAACAUCAUUGUCUGAAAAAUUUUCAUAUUUAAAGUUUGACAAAUGGCAUGAAAAUCAUUCAGAUGAUUAUAUGGGUCCUCAUUUUCUAGGUCAUAAAAUGUGGGGAGACAAUUUAGCACACUAGAUUUUAAUUCAAAGCUCCUAGCAGCUACAUUUGGGUAUCUUAUACAUGAUGCGCUCAAAUUUGCUAAAGGACUGAAAUAAUCCUUAAAUGGCCUCUCCUGUGGUUGCAAAUCCAUUUUAUUUUUUACUUGUUUGUGUGUGCGAAGUGUUUUCUCAAGUUCAAGGUCUAUAGGUUCAAGAUUGGGUAAUAAUGACAUUCGACCAUGCAUGCAAAACAAAUAAAAUAAAAAAUAAAGAUGGGAACAAAAUAAAUAAAAAUAAAAAAGAGGGAGAAAUUACGAUACUAACCUUAUUGGGCUAUUACAAACUUUCUAUAAAAAUACACAAAAACAAAUACGUGAAAUAAAUUAACUAAACAUUAAAUUAAUAAAAUAAACAAAAAAAAUUACAAAGAAAAAUAAAUUAAAAAUUAAAUUACAGAAUUUUAAAGAAGAGAAAAAGGAAAGAAAUGCUAACCUUUAAAUGUAAAUUCACUUUUUUUUCUUUUUUUUAAUAAUAAAAAAAAUACAAGAAAACAAAUAAAAGAAAUUAUUCACAAAAAUUAAUUCUAAAAAUUACUUACCUCCCUGGCAACGGCGCCAAAAACUUGUUGUGCAAAUUUUAAUAUACUCGCAAGCGCACGAAUCUAUUGCAGUAUAGAUCAAUGGUGACGAGUGUCGAUCCCACGAGGAGGUGGAUUUUAAUUGUGUAGAAUUAAUUUUGUAAAUGGGUGAUUGGAUUUGUGGUGGAAAUGAUUUGGAAUAUCCUAAAACUUAAAUUAAAAUGGCGAGAAUAAAUUCUAAAAUUGGAAUUGAAAUUACGAGAAUAAAUUGAAGAGAAUUCUAUUAAAAUGACGUACUUGGGUAUCUGGAUCCGUAUCAACAUGCAUCAUGGGCUAAAUAAUCCUUAUUAAUGCCAAUUAAAUCAUGAGGGGGGAAUCCACACCUCAUGAACCACACUCUAAUCAAUAUGGUGCUAAGGGCUUAUCGUGCCAAAUAAUAAUAACCUUGUACUAGAGGGCCGGUGAAACCAAGGCGGUACUAGACAAGAUUAGUAUUAUUUGUCGACGAGAAGUCAAAACAUCCACAAAAACUAGAGGGGAAGAGAAAAUAAAUUUACCAAAUAAAACCCAUGACACAUGUUGAGACUUCACUUUCAACCCAAGCUUGAAAGAAAAUUAGCUACUCAUAAUUGAACUAGGGGCAAAAUGAGAAUUUAUUAAAAUACGAAGAAACUACAAGAUGGAGAAGGAAUUACAAAAAAUAGAGUCCAAAAAUGGAUUCAGAGAUAUCAAAUUAUGGGGGAGAGGCCCCCUUUUUAUAGAUACAUCAAGUAAAUCAUGGCCAUCGGAUUAAAAACAGUUUGGACGCUCAAGAUUGCGACACGUCAUCAGUCAACAGUAACACGGUUUGACUCGGAUGAACAGUAACACGGUUUGACUCGGAUGAACAGUAACGCGGUUUGACUCGGAUGAACAAUAACGCGUUUGGUUGAAAAUAAUUCUGUGUGAUGCAUGUACCGUAUGCGAGAUUUUUCGUUCACUAAUAUGCUGCCACGUCACCAUCAACAGUACAUAAGAAUUUUAGCCCAACAGGAUCGUGACACCUCAUCAGUCAAUGCCACAUCAUCGGUCAAUGCCACGUCAUCGAUCCGUCUAUGUGAACAAUGUAGUGAACAGUAACGUAGACAGUACCGUACACGUGAAUAGUACCGUACAUGUGAAUAGUGCCAUUUUUCCAUUUAUGUUCCUCCUAAGGUUUUCGACCGUUCUGAGUUCAAAAGUGAUGUCCGUUUUGCCGUCUGAUCUCUCCUUUAUUGUGAAAUGACUUUAAUGCCCCUAAAAUACAUAAAAUACUUAAUUAAAAUAAAACACAUGUAAUUAAAUCACAAGAAGGUUAAAUACAUAAAAGUAAGGGUUGUUAGUAAGACUUGAAAUGUAAAAUGACGGUCUUCUCCUUUAUAAGUAUGCAUUUUCUGACACUCAACAUGUGUGUGUAUGGAGGGCAAAUCUUUGACUACCUCCAGCUUCAAGGACCUAUACAAUAACUCUUAAAUCAAACGGAGAAAAUAGUUAAUUCAAUCUGAUUGAAUAUGAUUGAUAUUUACCAUAUGAUUAUUACAUAAAGAUUGAGCCUUAAGUGUUUUACAUUAAGUAAUACUGCACAUUUGUUCUACACAUUUAGACAACUCAGAGUAAGAAUUAUGAAAAUGACAACCAAAUCCAAACUAGCUAGGUGCACUAUUAUUAUUUAUCUUUGCUCCAUAAAUAUUAGAAAGAUAGAGGAGCGGAAGAAAAAGAAAAAACUAAUUUUGUAGUCACAAAUCAAUCUUAUGCUCUGAUUUUGAAGCAAAUCUGCAAAAUAUUUGAGGAUCCAACCAUGAAGCAUGUCCACUUCAAUCUUUCGCUGCACUGCUAACCAUUAUGGGUCGUCUUCUAUUGCUGGCUGUACGUCUAAGCAAUGGGAACCUACUCCAAUUUACACACUGUUAAUUAAUUAUGUUAUCAAAUAAUUUAGUUAAUAAUUGAACACUUAUUUUUUAUUUUAUAGAAAAAUUUACAUACUGCUUCUUGUUGUCACUGUUAUUAUAUUGUCUGAUAUCUUCCAAAACCCUAUAAUCUCCCCCCCACCAAAAAAAAAAGAAGAAAAAGAAUAAGGCAUAUAAUUAAACGGGUAACUUCGAUAGAAAAUAGUGUACAAAAUUUUUAAGCUUAAUUACCCCUCGCUGCUAUGGGAUCACGAAGGCCAUUAGGUAAAAUAAUGUUGCUACCAAAUCUCUUUAAAACCACUCUUAUAUCUUGCAAAUUAAAAAGAAAUAGAAAUCAAACAACAAUUGAGGUAAACUUUAUAAUUAAAAAAGAAAAUGAGAAAAAUUAAAUUAUUAAAAGAAUUAAUUUGGGGAUUAAUCAAUACUUACAUGACCUCCGUAAUAUGUUGUAAUCUAAUGUGGUCUCGGAACCACUCCAUAAGACUUAUUGCAUGAAUUCAUAUAUUCUGUCAGAUUAAAUGAGUAUGUUUGAAACAUUGUGUCGUUUUUGCCAAUUCCAAUUGGUGAGACCAUUUCAUUGUAUGUCUGGAUUGAACUCCCCCUCCCUAAAAAAAAUAAUAAAUAAAUAAGAUAAAGAAGAAAACUAUUUUUAAUCAUUCAUAAAUAUGUAUUCUCAUAAAUAAAAUUUAGAGAUGUACAUAAAAUAAGUAUUGUUAGACGAAAGACUCAUUCAUUGCGACAUGUUGUUUAUUUGACGGUCUCAAUAGUACUAUCCAAUUGGUUUAUUGGCUUAUAUUUGUGUGGUGUAGAUCUAUUUGAAUAACAUUGCAGAAAUAUGAGAUAAUAUGGAAAAUAUUAGAAAUAGUUAAUAGCAUUAUUAAGAUACUAAAUAUCAGCCAAAAUAAUAAAAUAAAUAAAAAGCUCAAAGAGUUCUUGUUGUAAAUCAUGACUCGAAUAGGAAAAUAAACAAGACUAAUCAUAUCUUUGUGUAAAUUUAAUUUGUAUAAAAAAAACGUGUAGGUGUAAUAUUAUAAAUAAACUCAUAGAGAAAAGAAUGUGUAAACUCCUGUGAUUUGACAAAAUAAUCAAAAUAAUCUGUUUAUUUUUUAAAAUAGUUACAAAGCUCCUUUUGUAACAUACAAACUAUGGAAAUUCAUGGGCUACUUAACAUCCAUUUUAAUUUUUUUUUAUUUACACAAAAACAUCAUAGACGAAAGAAGAUAAAAAAUUUCAUUGCACCCAAUUUUUUUGCAUGCGAUCAAUAAGGAAAAGAGGCAGAAAGUGUUGGAAAUAUAGCACAAGUGGCUAUUUGAGGCGUGAUUUUGAGUGAGACCUAUGUGGUGUAAGUGAAAAGUUAAAAUUGUUUCAAAUAUUUCUCUGUAAAUACUUCAAAAUGGUUUUAUCUAUAUGAUCAAAAUGAUCCUUGGAUAAAUGAGAAAUGGUAACUGAAAGUAAAUUCAUGGAAUUGGAAAAUUAAAGGAAGAUACAUUUGUCCCACAUGAAAAAGGUAGUGAAGGCAUGAAAGGCUUGUAUAUAAUUAUUUAUAGUAUGAGUAAAAUAUAAACCAAAAUGCUCUCUCUUCCGUGCUCCUUCCUGAGUAUACGAAAGUUGGCCCAAAUCGAUCGUGGUAGGCCUGCCUUAGUCUUGCACAUUUGAAGUUCAUCGUGAAACGAUCCCAUAGUUGUCGUUCAAACCUCUGGGCACUUAAAAAAAGGUUUUCUUUUUAUUUUUUUUAUAUUUUUUAAAUUUAAUAAAUGCCAUAUUAUUUAAUAUUUAAUUUUAAGGCAUCUUUUUAAGUUGAGGGCAGGGAACCACUCCGAUACGUAACUUCGUGACCUGCUAAUCUAAUCACCUUGACUUUGAAGACUUCUUCCCCUAGUCAGCAAUGAUUUGGAACUUACGUCUUGACAUAUGCUGUGGAAAAAAAAGAGUGAAGCAGACUUAUUAAGUCGAGAUGUUUCUUCAGUCUAGAUAUUUUCGUUUAUACGUGUACACAUAUUCAAUGUCUAACCUUAUUUUGAAAAAAGACUAAUGUCCUAUUUGGGAUUACGGUUGAAAUACUAUAAAUAGUUUAUUUUAUAAGUUUUGAUAAAAAUAAUGUUUGGUAAAUUUGUUAAAAGUUAAUUUAUAUUUUCUCUAUUUUGACAAUAGCUUUUAAAACAAGUAUGAGAUUAUUUUUAGAAGCAACUUAUUAAAUAAAAUGCAUUUUUUUAAAUUUUCUAUUAUAACUAAGAAAAGAAUAAUUGUAUCUUACUUUUUUUAUAAAUCCUAAUAUAUAAAUAAAAGACAAUUUAAACUUAUAAUUAUUUUAGUGAUUAUAUAAUAAAAUAGUUCUUGCAUAAUUGAAUUUACCAAACACUGAGCGAGCUACUUUUAUAAUGAUUAGCUUAUUUUAUCCGCAUAACAGAAGUAGUUUAUUCAAUAGCCACCGGAAUCUCAAACUGAUUCUAAGUCAUGUUUGGAAUUGCAUGACAUUGUCAAAUAAUUAACAAAAGAAGCUAUUAUGUAGAAGCAUAGGAACAGGUUGAGAAUGAGAGAUACAUGUACAUGGAGAGCAAAUUCUUUUACUCUCACCGGCUUCAACGACCUAUACAAUAACUCCUAAAUCAAAGGGAGAAAAUGGUUAAUUCAAUGUGAUUGUACAUGAAUUGAUAUUCACCAUAUGAUUAUUACAUAAAGAUUGAGCCCUUUAUAUGUGCUUUACAUUAAGUAAUACUGCACACUUGUUCUACACAUUUAGACAACCCAGAUUAAGAAUAAUGAAAAUGAACUCUUAAACUAGCUAGGUGCUCUAUUAUUUAUCUUUGCUCCAUAAAUAUUAGAAAGAUAGAGGAGAGGAAGAAAAAGAAAAACAACAACAUACACUCUAAAUAAUCCUUCAAUUCUGAAACAUCCUUCAGAGGCUUGUAAUCAAAUAAACAACAACAACAUAGAAUUAAGUGCCACAAGGUUAGUAACAUUAUAAAAGAUCUUUCAACAUGCCGUCUAAAAAAUGUUGUUAUAUUUAGUUAGAUUACAAUAAACUUUAUAAGUAUGAAGCUAUUGAUAUUAUCAAAUGCAAACGUACAAAUUUGGCCUUAUUUGAUAAUUAGAGUUGUGCGUGGUUUUGUAGUUCAAAUUUAGAUUCUGUAAAAUACGAACCUCUGGAGGGCUGAAUCUAAGCACCAGUAUACUAUAUAUAUGGUAAUGCAAAGGCCGUGUAUAAGCCCAAAUCCAGAUUUUUACUUUGUAUAUUACACGUUAAUCGAAAUGUAUAUAUACUCUGAGGAUGACAGAUAAUUAAUUAGACAUAGUACAUUCGAUAAUGAUGCUACAAUAACAUUGCAUUAAUUGUAAUUAAGGGAAAAUCGGAUGGAUAUAUAUAAGCAAUUAUGUAAAGUAAUAUGAUUAAUUUCUUGCAGGUUUUGAACUUUUUAGAGAGAAAAGCAAGUCCAUUUUUUCUAGCAGCGGUUUUAUCCAUUUCAACCCAGGACUGUUUGAUGGUCAUGUAGCAGCCCUCGCUGGCUUCCUGCAUCAUUAAUUUUCAAAAUUCAAUGGUUAAAUUUUAACAAGAAAACAUAAUCAUACAUAUAUAGAAUUUUAAUUAAUUAAUUUUUUUUCUUACCCUACAGUCAUUGGUGACAAGAUCAUAAUAUGCGUUUGAUGGUGUGAUAUUAUCAAAGUAGAGAAUUGGGGCGGGCGAGGCAACUGCUCCCAAAGACUGUGAGGAUACUUCAAGCGAAACCAUGCUGCAAGCACUGGUGAUAACAAACCCACAAUUGAGUAACUCUCAAAACCAUAUCACAUCCCAGAUUUGAUAAAAUAGGACUAAUUGAGAUGGUUAUUUUUAAAAAAGUAAUUAUCUUAAAUAUAUUUAGUAUUUCUUAAUUUUACGAUCGCUGAAAGUAUUCAUUAAUUGGAAUGCAAAAUAAAUUUGUAUCAAAAUAAUAUUGGCGUAAUCAAUAUUUUGGUCAAACGAGAUCAAAAUGAAUAAAAUGGCGCAACAAAUGACACGACAUUAAUCAAAAGAUGUAAGUAAGUUAAUAAUAUUAAAAUUUACUUCCUCGAUAAGAUGCUCCAACGACGAUAAUGGGUGACAUUUCGGCCGAUAAAUUUUCCUUGAUGUGUAAGAGAAUCUUUGCAUAAUCUACCAAAGCUUGACCAGAGUUUAAAUAUCCACGAAGAGUUGCAUUGUUUAGGGCAUCUUUGCUUGAUACAAAAGGUACUGAUUUUCCAUAGAACCGAUACUGCAUGAAAAAUUGAAUUAAAAAAAAUCCAUCACAACUUUUCAGUUCAUAUUAUAGAAUAUUCUGAUUAAGAUUUGUCUUUAUUAUUAUUAUUUCGUAUGCGAACUCUAUUUUAAUUAUUAUCAAGCUAGCCUGAUAACAAAUUCUUUACUUACCUCUAUGUAAACUUAUAAGGCUUUAAAUCGAUGAGCAUUAUCAGCAAGCCAUCCAAUGCCACCAAGGUCAUCAUAUCAAGACUACUCUCUUCACCAAGAUAUGCCAAUAUCGGCGCCGCCAUGGCUCUGCCACCACCCCAAUGCUUGAAGUUCAACGCAUAUCUAUGAGGAAAAGUUAAAUAACUUUGUGGAUUAUAGUUAAAGUGAUCAAGUGUUUGAUCAUAAUAGUAAGUUUCGAGAUCAUAAUAGUAACUUUGUGGAUUUUUUUGCUAGGGUUUUGAAAAAUAGUCCUUCCACGAACAGCACCAAGCUUUGGGAUGUUCUUUAAUGGUGAAGUGGAAGCAAAAGCAAAAUUUGUGACGAGAAGAAGAAAAAGGCAUGGAGCGACCGACCUUUCAUGGCAAAGUUGUAAAUCCUUAAUUAGCAGGAUGAUUAUGUAAAUACAGAAGAAAUAGAGUUAAGAUUAGAUUAUAAAUUCAGCUUCAAAAUCGACGUGUUUGUUAAUAUAUCCUGGAUUUGUUGUUAUCGUAUAAUAUAAUUAAUGUUGCUUUUAGUUUUAUAUUAGUAUGGAUCUUCAGUUUUCAUAAAAUUAUAGUGUGUCUAAUGUUGUGCAAAUUUUAUUGAACUCACAAGUGUACGAAUCUAUUGUAGAAUAGAUUAAUGGUGACGAGUAUCGAUCCCACGAGGAGGUUGAUUCUAAUUGUGUGUAGAAUUAAUUUUUCUAAAUGGAUGUUUGGAUUUGUGGUGAAAGUGACUUAGAUUAUCUUAAAAUUGGAAUUGAAAUGGCGAGAAUAAAUUGAAGAGAAAUCUAUUGAAAUGAAACACUUGGGUAUCUGGAUCCGUAUCAACAUGCACCAUGGGCUAAAUAUUCCUUAUUAAUGUCAAUUAAAUCAUGAGGGGGGAAUCCACACCUCAUGAACCACACUAUAAUCAAUAUGGUGCUAAGGGCUUAUCGUGCCAAAUAAUAAUAACCUUGUACUAGUGAGUCGGUGAAACCAAGACGGUAUCUAGACAAGAUUAUUAUUAUUUGUCGACGAGAAAUCAAAACAUCUACAAAAACUAGAGGGGAAGAGAAAAUAAAUUUACCAAAUAGAGCCCAUGACACAUGUUGAGACUUCACCUUCAACCCAAGCUUGAAAGAAAAUUAGCUACUCACAAUUGAACUAGGGGUAAAAUGAGAAUUUAUUAAAAUACAUAGAAAAUACAAGAUGGAGAAUAAAUUACAGAAAAUGGAGCCCAAAAUUGGAUUCAGAGAUAUCAAAUUAGGGGGGGAGAGCUCCCUUUUUAUAGAUACAUUGAGUAAAUCAUGGCCAUCGAAUCAAAAACAUUUCGAACACUCAGGAUUGCGCCACGUCAUUAGUCAACAGUACGCGGUUUGAACAGUAACACGGUUUGGUUGAAAAUAAUCCUGUGUAAUGCAUAUACUGUACGCGAGAUUUUUGGUCCACUGAUAUGUUGCCACGUCAUCGAUCAACAAUACAUAAGAAUUUUAGUCCAAUAGGAUCGUGACACCUCAUCAGUCAAUGCCACAUCAUCGGUCAAUGCCACGUCAUCGGUCAAUGCCACGUCAUCGUUCCGUCUAUGUGAAUAGUGUCAUGAACAGUAACGUAGACAAUACCGUACAUGUGAGUAGGACCGUACAUGUGAACAAUGACAUUUUUCCUUUUAUGCUCCUCCUAAAGUUUUCGACUGUCCUAAGUUCAAAAGUGAUGUCCGUUUUGCCGUAUGAUUUCUCGUUCAUUGUGAAAUGACUAUGAUGCCCCUAAAAUACAUAAAAUACUUAAUUAAAAUAAAACACACGUAAUUAAAUCACAAGAAGUUUAAAUACAUAAAAGUAAGGGUGUUAGUAAGACUUGAAAUGUAAAAUGAUGAUUUUCUCCUACAUAAAUAUACAUUUUCUAACACUCAACAUCUAAUAUAUAGUUAACAGUUUCGUAAUUAAUAAAAUUUUUUAUUAUUUCUUUCCUAGUAAUUAAUUAUCUUGUGCUGGAAAGAAUAUCACUAACCACAACUUCUGCAGAAGCUUCCUCACCUUCGGAUGACAUCAGCGGUGGGUCCAGGAUGUUUGAUCGGAUCGGCGAAAUUAAAAAUUUAUUGUAUAUGUUUGCGUGAAUAUUUACAAAGGAGUGAAAAAACUAAUAUAUUAAAUAACGCGACAUCAACAACGUCGUUCUGAAUGAAAUUUUUAUAUAUAAUUUGUAAAAUAAACUAAUAAUUAGAAUGACAAUUUAGCCUUUUUAACUUGUAGAGACACAACCUUAAAUUCCUUAAUAUGCUGGUUAAUUCAGAUCAUUGAGAUGGAGACAAUUAGACAAACCUUAUUUUAUCAGAGUGAACUGCGAAAGUACAAGCUUUACAAAAGAGAUUAAUGUCGUAGUGUGAAUAGAAUUAAAAAAUACUAAGGCAGACAAUUCGUCGAACACAUAAUAUUUGCUACAUUGCUACUACCUAAUAAUUUCACAACCAAUUAACAGUCUCCUUUAUUGGAAAAAUCACAUUAAUCAACCAAAUACAUUUCUUGGUUUCUAAGCUCCAAAAUUGAAAUUUCAUGAAAAGGUUUCUGCAUUGGUGUCUUAUUGCGAGCGAUAAAUUCGUUGGACACGAGUUGCAUUGUAGGUCGAGACUUUGGUUGAGAACGCAAGCAUGAAAAUACUACUGUUGAAACAAGAAUGAUAUCCUGCCUAAUCAUUUGGUCCCCCGGAGGCGGGAGGCGUGGGUCCAACAAAUCAAUCAGCUUUAUAUUUUUAUCCAAUGAUGACGAUGACGAUGAGAGGAGCGCUUCUGGAUGCCUUCCCACUAGUACUUCUAGUGCCACCACUCCAAAGCUAUAAACAUCACAUUUCUCUGUCACAAUCAUGGUGUAGGCAAGUUCUAUAGGAAAACAAAGGCCUUCAUUAGUAACGUUUCCAUAAAUAAUAACAAGAACAAUUUGUUCAUGUUUUUUAGCUUCCGCAGCAAGUUAUGACAAAGAAACUUAUGUUUUAACUUAUGUUCAUUGUGUGUGUGUUUUAAAAGGAAAAGGGGUAGGCAAAGUUUAAAUUUAUUUUUAGCCCCUUAGCUUUUUCAAAAUUCGAACCAAGUAGCGACAUAAAUAAAGCUGCUUAAAAGCUACUUGGCAGAGUAUAUAUAAAAAUUAAUUAAGAGGAUAAUUAAAGAAGCAUAAGAGGAAUAGCUAGAGGAUGACCUGGAGCAAUAUAUCCAAAAGUGCCAGCUAAAAGAGUUCGGUUGGAUGAGUCAAAAUUUAACAAUCUAGCAAUGCCAAAGUCCGCAACAAAUGCUUCUAAUUCUGAGUUAAGUAGAAUGUUGUUGCUUGAUAUGUCCCGGUGAACAAUUGGUGGUGUGCAGUGAUGAUGUAAGUAUGACAAAGCGUGAGCCAUACCCUUCACAAUGUUCACCCUUUUAGUCCAAUCCAACCCAAUAGCUUCCUCAUCUGUGCGUAGAACACAGAACAAGCUUCCCAUUUCCAUGUACUCAUAGAUUAAGAACAUGCAUGUCUUGUGCAAACAAAAGCCGUAAAGCUUUACGAUAUUUCGAUGCCGUAUUUGGGACAGUAGACGAGCCUCAUUCCGAAAACUCUCGAGGGAAGCUAACUCCUCAGUUUCUGAACGGUGAAGCUUCUUCAAAGCAACCACUUUUCCACUGGGCAGCCGUGCUCUGUAAACGCUGCCGUAGCCUCCGGUUCCAAUGCAGUAUUUGAUAUCGAAAUCCUCAGUGGCUUCAAUCAUGUCUUGAAAUGUAAUUCUACCAUCGUAAUUCCAAAUUGCAAACUCAUCAGCGCACUUGGUAAUUUCUCCUGUCCCAGUUGGUUCAACUUCCUUAUCCCUUCGUCUACGGAUAAUCAAGAUUCCAAAUAUCAAGGCAAGGAAUGCGACCAUAGCAAGAAUAAUUGCAACCAAGAGAGUGGCAAUCAUUUUGUGAUGUGGCGGUGGCGCAUUUGCCAAAGUAGUUGGGAUUUCUCCUCCGAAUUUAUUACCUGACACAUCUAAGUGUGGCACUUUUCUGACAAAUACAGGGAUUCCACCGGAAAGGUUAUUCAUGGAAAGGUCCACGGUGUGUAUGCCCGGAAUUGCUCCAAGUUGGUAAGGUAUUUUACCAUUGAUGGAGUUACAGCUUAGAUCAAGAUAAUAUAGUUCUUGAAGUUUGCCAAUCUGUGACGGAAUGCUUCCGCUUAACAAGUUGUUUCCCAAUAUUAAUGUCGUCAGCUUUGAGCAAUUCAUGAGUUCUGGAGGAAUUGGGCCAUCAAGUUUGUUGUCAGACAAGUCUAAAAAUGUCAACCUGUUUAAAUGACCAAGUGUUAAAGGAAUAGAUCCAGUUAGAUUGUUAUAUUCCAGGGACAGAGAUUUCAAGUUGACUAAACUAGCUAUGGUCGAAGGAAUUGGACCUUCAAGUUUGUUGUUGGGCAGGUCAAGAACUUGAAGAAAGUUCAAAUGACCCACAGACGAAGGGAUUGGACCAACAAGUUUGUUUUCAGACAAGUCUAAAUAUGUCAACCUGUCUAAAUGACCAAGUGUUGAAGGAAUAGGUCCAGUUAGAUUGUUAUCCUGCAGGGACAGAUAUGUCAAGUUGACUAAACUAGCUAUGGUCGAAGGAAUCGGACCUUCAAGUUUGUUGUUGGACAGGUCAAGAACUUGAAGAAAGUUCAAAUGACCCACAGACGAAGGGAUUGGGCCAACAAGUUUGUUUUCGGACAAGUCUAAAUCUGUCAACCUGUUUAAAUGACCAAGUGUUAAAGGAAUAGGUCCAAUUAGAUUGUUAUAAUGCAGGGACAGAGAUGUCAAGCUGACUAAACUAGCUAUGGUCGAAGGAAUUGGACCUUCAAGUUUGUUGUCGGACAGGCCAAGAACUUGAAGAAAGUUCAAAUUCCCGAUUUCUAAUGGGAUGGAACCAUUGAUUCGGUUUGAGUGCAUAUUCAAAGUAGUUAGCUGAGUCAAAGGACCUACAGACGAAGGGAUUGGACCAACAAGUUUGUUUUGGGACAAGUCUAAAAUUCUCAACCUCUUUAAAUGGCCAAUUGUUGAAGGAAUUGAACCUCCAAUUUCAUUUCUGGACAGGUCAAGAACUUGAAGAACCUUCAAAUUCUCGAUUUCUAAUGGGAUGGAACCAUUAAUUUGGUUUGAGGCAAUAGCCAAAGUAGUUAGCUGGGUUAGAUGACCUAGAGUGGAGGGGACAUUACCAACAAGGGAGUUAGAAGACAAGUUCAAAAUUUUCAAUUUGCUUAGACGACCAAGAGUUGGAGGGAUAUGUCCCGUAAGGUGAUUAUUAGAUAGAUCCAGGUGGACGAGAUUCCUCAAUCUCCCCAUCUCUGAAGGGAUAAUUCCUGUUGUGCAUGUGAUUUAUGAAAAACGAGAUCAGUAUUCACUAUCCUCAUAGCAACAAAAAAAAAUGCAAAAUUUAUAUGGAGAGAGAGUCAUACUCAAGUGCGGACGGCACACACUUCUUCAGCGUUGUAAAAGCAAACGCCCGCACUAAGCAUGAGCACGAUUUUAUAAAAAAUAUAAUAUGUUACAGUGAAGUUUGGCAGCUUACCGGUAAGAUUGUUGGAGGUCAGUUCAAGAGUUCGGAUUGUUGAAAGAACAGUAAUUUCAGAUGGAAUGCUCCCAGAGAGAAGAUAAUUUGAACGAAUUUUGAAACUUCUGAGGUUGGGAAAGCAAGAGAAUUUGAAACGACCAAGCUCUCCUGUGAUGUUAUCAUUUUCAUACCAGAGUAAGCUGACCCCGAUUACGCUUACCGCUGAAUUGCAACUGAUGCCAGUCCACUUACAAUGAUCGGACGUGUAGUUGCCCGUCGUCGCCCAAUUGUUGACCCACCAGCCGGUAGCAAGUAAAGCUUCCCUUUCUAACAGUAUGGGUGACGACAACAAUCCUGCAGCUGAUGUCGUUACAGAUAUUGUCGUAUCACUUAUAGCACCAACAUUUAUUAAAAUUAUAAUGACCACCAGUCUCGAAACAGAGGACGCUGAUGCCAUGUUUAUGGUGGUUUUCUGUUGAUUGAGCUACAUUUGAUUCUCAGCAAAGCGUUUAUAUAAGAAUCAAUUGUUUUGCAAGCUCCCAGUGUUAACUUCCAAUACGCGUUUUCAAAUAGUGUGAGUCAAUGUCUUCUCUGGAUGGAUUCAAUCAUGGAGAUAUAACCUUAUCGGCUUGUAUUUGUGAGGUGUAGAUCUAUUUGAACAACUUUGCAGAAACAUGAGAUAAUAUGGACAAUAGUAGAAAUAAUUAAUAGCAUUAUUAGUAGUAUAAGAUAUUAAGUAUUACCCAAAAUAAGAAAAGGAAAAAAGUUCAAAGAAAAGAAUUGUUAUAAAUAAUGGCUCAAAUAGGAAAAUAAACAAGACUAAUCAUAUCUUUUGUAACAUACAUACCAUAGCUCAUGGGCUAACUAACAUUUUUUUUUUUUAACCCUAAACAUCAUAAAUGAAAGAAGAUGAAAUUUUAAUUACCGCUCAAUUUUUCUGCACGCAACCAAAUUUAAAAAAAAAGAAAAAAGAAAGUGUUAGAAAAAUAAUGCGCAAGUAGCUACUUGAGGCAUGAUUUUGAAUGAGACCUUUUUGGUAUAAGUGAAAAUUCAGAAAUUGUUUCGCAUAUUCCUCUAUGAGUACUUCGGAAUGUUAUCUAUACAAUCAAAAUGAUCCUCAAGUGAAUGAGAAAUUGUUACUCAAAGUGCACUCAUGAAUUUGAAAAAUUAAAGGAAAAUACAUUUGUCCCACAUUGGAAAGAUUUAUACAUAAUUACUAGAUGAACGGUAAGCUACUAUUAGCAAAGGGGCGUUCCUUGUGCACAGUCACGGGAGUGCAAAAUUUAACCACCCCAAUUAGCUUAACCAGUGUUCAUAUUGGGGGUGUUUACCCGACCCUUAGUUGGGGUUAGCUAAUGUGGCAACUUAGUUUGCCUUUUUUUUUUUUUUGCUCUUUGUAAUAAUAAUAAUAACAAAUUAAUAUAAUUUUUUAAUUUAAUAUUAUAUUACAUAAUAUUAAAUUAUGUUUUAAUUUUUAUUAUUUUAAAUAUAUAACUAAACAAUGUAUUAUUUAAUUGUAUUAUUUUAAUUAAUAUAUAAAAUUAUAUUAAUUAAUCUUUAAUAAGUUAAUAUAAUUAGUAAUAAAUACUUAAAUAAUAUAAUAUUACAUUAUUAAUUAUAGUACAAUAAUUAAUUUAGCUAUUUUUAAAUAAUUUAAUAUAACUAACAAUAAAUAUUUAAAUUUGAAUAAAUUUGAAUAAUAUUAAUUGAAAAUUAAUAAUAUAAAUAAUUACUGGAUUAUUUAGCUCAAUUUAUUUUCUUAGUGAAUAUGUCAUAACAAUUGUAUCACUUUAUUAUUCUAUAAUUAUCUUGUAAUAUGUAUAAAUUUUUAUUCUAUCAUCCUCAAAUGAUUUUUGAAUUAAUCUUGAAGAUUUUAACUAUUUAUUUAUGUUGUUAAAUUAUUUAGUGAUUAUUUGAUUAAAUUAUUUACUUCGAUCUUUAUUUCACAAGUUAUAUAUUUAGAAAAUACUGAAAAAUACACAUCCAAAAAUUUAAGACUAUAAGCCUCGGAAAAAUUAUGACAUUUCAAUAUAUAUUUUUAAUAAAAAUGUUAAAUUUCUAAAUUUCUAAAAUUUAAUAAUUUUAUAUUUAUUAUUUUUAAGUACUAAUAAAUAUUAUUUUCUAAAUAUAUAAUUUAAAUUAAUCACAAAAAAAUUAAUACAGUACAGUGUAACGCUAAACAUUAUACAACAUUAUUAUAAUACAAUGCUAAUGCAAUACAACAUAAUACAAUACACCUACAAUAAAAUAAUGCAAUACAACAUAAAAUAGAAUACAGUGUGUCAAAUGCACCAUUGUAUUAUUGUUUCGUUCUCAUGGUAUAAUUGCCGUCCAUACCUGUGCAAAACAUUAAGAGUUAAAAAUAUAUAUUUUUAUGAUUAAUUUUAGAUUUUUUUAAACUUUAAUAAUGCCAUAUUAUUUAAUAUUACAAUUGCCGUUCGAACAUGUGCAAAACAUGAAGACUAAUAUAUAUAUAUAUAUAUAUAUACACACCAUAUUAUUUAAUAUUUAAUUUUUAAGGCAACUUUUACUUUUAAAAAAAAAAUUUAAGGCAACUUUUUUAGUUGAGGGCAGGGAACCCCUACGAUACGUAAUUCCAUAACACGCUUAUCUAAUCACCUUGACUAUAAGACUUCUCCUAGUCAGCAAUUAUUUGGAAAAAAACGUCUUGACAUGUGCUGUGGAAAUUAAAGAAUGAGGUGGACUUACGAAGUCAAGGGGUUUUUCUAGUCUACAGAUUUUAAUUUAUAUGUGUAGAAAAUUAGAAAUAUUCAGUGUCUAAUCUGAUUCUACAUAAAGACUAAUGCCCCAAGAUUGUGAUUGAAAUACCACAAGCAGUUUAUUUCAUAAGUUUAGGUAAAAAUGAGGUUUGAUGGCUUUGUUAAAAGUUGCUUCUUUCGUAAUUUUCUCAUUUUGACUGCAACUUCAAAAAAUAGGCAGGAGAUUAUUUUGAUAAGCAACUUAUUAAAUAAGUUGCUAGAUCUUUUUAAAUGUUCCUAUAAUAAUCUUAAUAUUUUAAGAAAAGAAUAAUUAUAUCUUUCUUUUCUAUAAGCUCUAAUAUAUAAAUAAAACACAGUUUAAACUUAUGUCUAUUUUAGUGAUUAAAUAAUACAAUACAUUCAUAAUCAAAUUUACCAAACACAAGCAAGAUACUUUUUUAAUCAUCAACUUAUUUCAUCCUCACAACAAAAAUAACUUAUUUUAUCAGCCACCGCCAUCCUAAACUUGAUGCUAAGUCACAUUUGGGAUUGCAUUUGAUUGUCAAAUAAUUAAGAGAAAUAGCCAUUAUGGAGAAGAAUAGGGAGAGGUUCGCCUAAAGCAAUAUACCCGUAAGCUUGGCUACUAAUAAACGGAGCAUAUAAGCAUAAACACCUAACUUUUGAGGCAUAUAAGGGAUCUAAAAGUGCGGGAAACGUUCGGAAAAACUUUAAAACCACAGGGUUUUAAAGGCUUAAACUGCAUGGUUUAUGUGUUUUCCUAGAUAUUCCUACACUUUAAAAUUCAAGAUUAAAACAUUUCCAUAUGUGUGUGUGUGUGUGUGUGUGUGGAGGGCAAAUCUUUGACUCUCUCCAGCUUCAAGUACCUAUACGGUAACUCUUAAAUCAAAAGGGAGAAAAUGGUUAACCCAAUCUGAUUGUAUAUGAAUUGAUAUUCACCAUAUGAUUAUUGCAUAAAGAUUGAGCCUUAAGUGCUUUACAUUAAGUAAUACUGAACACCUGUUCUACACAUUUAGACAACUCAGAGUAAAAAUUAUGAAAAUGACAACCAAAUCCAAACUAGCUAGGUGCACUAUUAUUAUUUAUCUUUACUCCAUAAAUAUUAGAAAGAUAGAGGAGAGGAAGAAAAAGAAAAGACUAAUUUUGUAGUCACAAUUUAAUCUUAUGCUCUGAUUUUGAAGCAAAUCUGCAAAAUAUUUGAGGAUCCAAUCAUGAACCAUGUCCACUUCAAUCUUUCGCUGCACUACUAACCAUACUGGGUCAUCUUCUGUUGCUGGCUGUGUGUCUAAGCAAUGGGAACCUACUCCAAUUUACACACUAUUAAUUAUGUUAUCCAAUAAUUUAGUUAAUAAUUGAACACUAAUUUUUUAUUUUAUAGAAAAAUUUAAAUACUGUUUCUUGUUGUCACUGCUAUUAUACUGUCUGAUAUAUCUUCCAGAAUCCUAUAAUCCCCCCCCCCCCAAAAAAAUAGAAGAAACAGAAAAGAUAUAUAAUUAAACAGGUAACUUCGAUAGAAAAGAGUGUACACAAUUCUUAAGCUUAAUUACCCCUCGCUACUAUAGGGAUCACGAAGGCCAUUAGAGAAAAUAAUGUUGCUACCAAAUCUCUUUAAAACCACUCUUAUAUCCUGCAAAUUAAAAAGAAAUAGAAAUCAAACAAAAAUUGAGGUGAACUUUAUAAUUAAAACAGAAAAUGAGAAAUCUUAAAAUAUUAGAAGAAUUAAUUUGGGGAUUAAUCGACACUUACAUUACCACUUUAAUAAGUUGUAAUCCAAUGUGGUCUUGGAACCACUCCAUAAGACUUAUUGCAUGAAUCCAUAUAUUCUGUCAGAUUAAAUGGGUCUGCUUGAGACAUUGUGUCGUUUUUGCCAAUUCCAAUUGGUGAGACCAUUGCACUGCAUGUCUGCAUGAGAAACCCCCCAAUAAUAAAAAAUAAUAAUAAUAAAAUAACAUAAAGAAGAAAACUAUUUUUAAUCAUUCAUAAAUAUAAAGUCUCAUUGCCACAUGUUGUUUAUUUAACGGUCUCAAUAGAACUAUCCAAUGAAAUCAUGUCACUUGUAAUUGCAUACCUGUCAGCCCCAGCUGGAGUCCAAUGUUGCAUCGGAGAAGAAUUCAUCAACAUCAUGGCAAGAAUCCUCCCCUCUUAAAUCAACAAUUCCUGAGAUGAUCCAGUCUAGGGCAUCUGUGUCUUCUAAAGCUCCAUCAAUUGCAUUACAGGCUUUGUUCACUGGGCUUUCCUGAGGAUCAUCAUACUGAGCUGCACCCGUAUACAUAUACUCUAAAUAAUCUUUCAAUUCUUAAACAUCCUUCAGAGGCCUGUAAUCAAAUAAACAAUAACAUAGAAUUAAGUGCCACAAGGUCAUUAAUUUUAUAAAAGAUCUUUCAACAUAUUGUCUUCAAAAUGUUGUUAUAUUUAGUUAGAUUACAAUAAACUUUAUAAGUAUGAAGCUAUUGAUAUUCUCAAAUACAAACGUUCAAAUUUGGCCUCAUUUGAUUAUCAGAGUUGUGCGUGGUUUUGUAGUUUAAAUUUAGAUUCUGCAAAAUAUGGACGUCUGAACCUAAGCACCAGUAUACUAUAUAUGGUAACGCAAAGGCCGUGUAUAAGCCCAAAUCCAGAUUUUUACUUUGUAUAUUACACGUUAAUCGAAAUGUAUAUAUACGCUGAGGAUGACAGAUAAUUAAUUAGACAUAGUACAUUCGAUAACGAUGCUACAAUAACAUUGCAUUAAUUGUAAUUAAGGGAAAAUCGGAUGGAUAUACAAUACAAUACAAUAUACAAUAUGGAUAUACAAUAACAUACAAUAUGAUUCUGAUACAACCCCAAUAUUACAGUUAGACAAGCCCAACUCAGCUAGCUCUAUCAAUACUGAGGAAAAGGCCCAGGCAAACUCAAGUGAGGCUAUCCAAAAUCGACCCCAAGAUAACCUCAAGCCAAGUCGCGUAAGGAAGCCUCCCAAAUGGCUCAAGGAUUACACAUACUGAGCAUAUAUGAGCUGAGGACUCGGUUUCUAACGGCCUUAGCUAUUUAGAGAACAACUUUUUUGUUAUAGAGGGAGGUUGUUAUUUAGUUUUGACAGCUGUGAGCAUAUUCUUGCUGCUAUAAGUAUUUCCAUGGUUGUAUUUGAUGAUAUAUAAAAUUCUGGACCUAGUUUCUUCUUCUUCUCUGAAUUUUUCUCUCUAUUCUAUCUUGCCAUUCACUCAUUUCUUUAAAAUUCUGGGAGCUUGCACUUGCUUGAAAAGUGUGGAAACCUUGCUGUUCGGUGUGUUCACCAGCGGCAUAACAGAUUCAUUACUUGCAGGUUUUGAACUUUAUAGAGAGAAAAGCAAGUCCAUUUUUUCCAGCAGCGACUUUAUCGAUUUCAGCCUAGGACUGUCUGAUGGUCUUGUAGCAGGUCUCGCUGGCUUCCUGCAUCAUUAAUUUUCAAAAUUCAAUGGCUAAAUUUUAACAAGAGAACAUAAUCAUGCUUAUAUAAAAUUUUAAUUAACUAAUUUAUUUCUUACCCGAAAGUCCUUGGUGACAAGAUCAUAAUAUGCGUUUGACGGUGUGAUAUUAUCAAAGUAGAGAAUUGGGGCGGAUGAGGCAACUGCUCCCAAAGCAAUGUGACGAUACUUCAAGCGAAACCAUGCAGCAAGCAUUGUUGAUAACAAACCAACAAACGAGUAACUCUCGAAACCAUAUCACAUCCCAGAUCUGAUAAAAUAGGAUGAAUAGAGAAGAUUAUUUUUAAAUACAUAAUUAUCUUGAACAUAUUUAUUAUUUCUUGAUUUUACGAUCGCCAAGAGUAUUCGUUAGUUGCAAUAUUAAAUAAAUUUGUAUCAUAGUAAUAUUGCUGUAGUCAAUAUCUUGAUCGAUCAAUCGUGAUCUAAAUGAGUAAAAUGAUGUGACAGAUGACACGACAUUAAUCAAAAGAUGUAAGUAAGUUAAUAAUAUUAUAAUUUACUUCCUCCAUAAGAUGCUCCAACAACCAUAAUGGGAGACAUUUCGUCCGAUAAAUUUUUCUGGAUGUGUAAGAGAAUCUUGCAUAAUCAGCCAAAGCUUGAGCAGAGUUGAAAUAUCCACGAAGAGUUGCAUUCUUUAGGGCAUCUUUGCUUGAUACAAAAGGUACUGAUUUUCCAUAGAACCGAUACUGCAUAAAAAAUUGAAUUAAAAAAAAAUCCAUCACAACUUUUCAGUUCAUAUUGUAGAAUAUUCUGAUUAAGAUUUGUCUUUAUUAUUAUUAUUUCGUAUGUGAACUCUAUUUCAAUUAUUAUCAAGCUAGCCUGAUAACAUAUUCUUUACUUACCUCUAUGUAAACUUGUAAGGCUUUAAAUCGAUGAGCAUUAUUAGUAAGCCAUCCAAUGCCACCAAGGUCAUCAUAUCAAGACUACUCUCUUCACCAAGAUAUGCCAGUAUCGGGCGCCGCCAUGGCUCUGCCACCACCCCAAUGCUUGAAGUUCAACGCAUAUCUAUGAGGAAAAGUUAAAUAACUUUGUGGAUUAUAGUUAAAGUGAUCAAGUGUUUGAUAAUAAUAGUAAGUUUCGAGAUCAACAUAGUCACUUUGUGGAUUUUUUUGCUAGGGUUUUGAAAAAUAGUCCUUCCACGAACAGCACCAAGCUUUGGGAUGUUCUUUAAUGGUGAAGUGGUAGCAAAAGCAAAAUUUGUGACGAGAAGAAGAAAAAGGCAUGGAGCCGCCGACCUUUCAUGGCAAAGUUGUAAAUCCUUAAUUAGCAGGAUGAUUAUGUAAAUACAGAAGAAAUAGAGUUAAGAUUAGAUUAUAAAUUCAGCUUCAAAAUCGACGUGUUUGUUAAUAUAUCCUGGAUUUGUUGUUAUCGUAUAAUUUAAUUAAUGUUGGUUUUAGUUUUAUAUUAGUAUGGAUCUUCAUUUUUCAUAAAAUUAUAGUGUGUCGAAUAUAUAGUUAUCGGUUUCGUAAUUAAUAAAAAUUUUUAUUAUUUCUUUCCUAGUAAUUAAUUAUCUUGUGCUUACCAGAAUAUCACUAACCACAACUUCUGCAGAAGCUUCCUCACCUUCGGAUGACAUCAGCGGUGCGUCCAGGAUGUUUGAUCGGAUCAGCUAAAUUAAAAAUUUAUUGUAUAUGUUUGUGUGAAUAUUUACAAAGGAGUGAAAAAAAACUAAUAUAUUGAAUAACGCGACAUCAAGAACUUCGUUCUGAAUGAAAUUUUUAUAUAUAAUUUGCAAAAUAAGCUAAUAAAUAGAAUGACAAUUUACCCUUUUUAACUUGUAGAGACACAACCUUAAAUUCCUUAAUAUGCUGGUUAAUUCAGAUCAUUGAGAUGGAGACAAUUAGACAAACCUUAUUUUAUCAGAGUGAACUGCGAAAGUACUAGCUUUACAAAAGAGACUAAUGACGUAGUGUGAAUGGAAUUAAAAAAUACUAAGGCAGACAAUUCGUCGAACACAUAAUAUUUGCUACAUUGCUACUACCUAAUAAUUUCACAACCAAUUAACAGUCUCCUUUAUUGGAAAAAUCACAUUAAUCAACCAAAUACAUUUCUUGGUUUCUAAGCUCCAAAAUUGAAAUUUCAUGAAAAGGUUUCUGCAUUGGUGUCUUAUUGCGAGCGAUAAAUUCGUUGGACACGAGUUGCAUUGUAGGUCGAGACUUUGGUUGAGAACGCAAGCAUGAAAAUACUACUGUUGAAACAAGAAUGAUAUCCUGCCUAAUCAUUUGAUCCCCCGGAGGCGGGAGGCGUGGGUCCAACAAAUCAAUCAGCUUUAUAUUUUUAUCCAAUGACGAAGAUGACGAUGAGAGGAGCUCUCCUGGAUGCUUUCCCAUUAGUACUUCUAGUGCCACUACUCCGAAGCUAUAAACAUCAGAUUUCUCUGUCACAACCAUGGUGUAGGCACGUUGUAUAGGAAAACGGAAGUCUUUAUUAGUAAUGUUUCCAUAAACAAUAACAAGCACAAUUUGUUCAUGUUUUUUAGCUUCUUUAGCAAGGUAUGACAGAGAAGCAUAUGUUCUAACUGAUAUUCAGUGUAUGUGUGUUUUGAAAGGUAAAGGGAUAGGUAAAGUCUAAAUUCAGUUAUAGCUCCUUAGUUUUUUCAAAAUUCGAACCCAAGUAGCGAGCUAAAUAAAGCUGGUUAAAAACUACUUAGCAGAGUAUAUAUAAAAAUUAAAUAAGAGGAUAACUAAAGAAGCAUAAGAGGAAUAGCUAGAAGAUGACCUGGAGCAAUAUAUCCAUAAGUGCCAGCUAACAGAGUUCGAUUGGAUGAGUCAAAAUUUAACAAUCUAGCAAUACCAAAGUCAGCAACAAAAGCUUCGAAUUCUGAGUUGAGUAGAAUGUUGUUGCUUGAUAUGUCGCGGUGAACAAUUGGUGGUGUGCAGUGAUGAUGCAAGUAUGACAAAGCAUGAGCCAUACCCUUCACAAUGUUCACCCUUUUAGUCCAAUCCAACCCAACAGCUUCCUCAUCUGUGCGUAGAAUACAGAACAAGCUUCCCAUUUCCAUGUACUCAUAGAUCAAGAACAUGCAGUUCUCGUGCAAACAAAAGCCGUAAAGCUUUACAAUAUUUCGAUGCCGUAUUUGGGACAGUAGACGAGCCUCAUUCCGGAAACUCUCGAGGGAAGCUAACUCCUCAGUUUCUGAACGGUGAAGCUUCUUCAAAGCAACCACUUUUCCACUGGGCAGCCGUGCUCUGUAAACGCUGUCGUAGCCUCCGGUUCCAAUGCAGUAUUUGAUAUCGAAAUCCUCAGUGGCUUCAAUCAUGUCUUGAAAUGUAAUUCUACCAUCGUAAUUCCAAAUUGCAAACUCAUCAGCGCACUUGGUAAUUUCUCCUGUCCCAGUUGGUUCAACUUCCUUAUCCCUUCGUCUACGGAUAAUCAAGAUUCCAAAUAUCAAGGCAAGGAAUGCGACCAUAGCAAGAAUAAUUGCAACCAAGCGAGUGGCAAUUGUUUUGUGAUGUGGCGGUGGCGCAUUUGCCAAAGUAGUUGGGAUUUCUCCUCCCAAUUUAUUGCCUGACACAUCUAAGUGUGGCACUUUUCUGACAAAUACAGGGAUUCCACCGGAAAGGUUAUUCAUGGAAAGGUCCACAGUGUCUAUGCGUGGAAAUUCUCCAAGUUGGGAAGGUAUUUUACCAUUAAUGAAGUUACCGCUUAGAUCAAGAUAAUAUAGUUCUUGAAGUUUGCCGAUCUGUGACGGAAUGCUUCCGCUUAACAAGUUGUUUCCCAAUUUUAAUAUCCUCAGCUUUGAGCAAUUCAUGAGUUCUGGAGGAAUUGGGCCAUCAAGUUUAUUGUUGUACAUAUUCAAAGUAGUUAACUGAGUCAAAUGACCCAGAGACGAAGGGAUUGGGCCAACAAGUUUGUUUUGGGACAAGUCUACACUUCUCAACCACUUUAAAUGGCCAAGUGUUGUAGGAAUUGAACCUCCAAUUUCAUUUCUGGACAGGUCAAGAGCUUGAAGAACCUUCAAACUCCCGAUUCCUAAUGGGAUGGAACCAUUCAUUUGGUUUGAGGCAAUAGCCAAAGUAGUUAGCUGGGUUAGAUGACCUACAUUGGAUGGGAUAUUACCGACAAGGGAGUUAAAAGACAAGUUCAAAAUUUUCAAUUUGCUUAGACCACAAAGAGUUGGAGGGAUAUGUCCCAUGAGGUGAUUAUCAGAUAGAUCCAGGUGGACGAGAUUCCUUAAUCGCCUCAUCUCUAAAGGGAUAAUUCCUGUUGUGCAUGUGAUUUAUGAAAAACGAGAUCAGUAUUCACUAUCUUCAUUAAAAAAAAAUUACAUAGAGGGAGAGUCAAGCUCAAGUGCGGACGACUCACACUUCUUUAGUGUUGUAAAAACAGACGCCUGCUUUAAGCAGCAGCGCGAUUUUAUACAUACAUAUAUAUAUAUAUGGUGAAGUUUCACAGCUUACCGGUAAGGCCGUUGUAGGGCAGUUCAAGAGUUUGGAGCAUUGAAAGGGCAGUAAUUUCAGAUGGAAUGCGCCCAGAGAGAACAUAAUUUGUACGAAUUUUGAAAUUUCUGAGGUUCGGAAAGCAAGAGAAUUUGAAACGACCGAGCUCUCCUUUGAUGUUAUCAUUUUCAUACCAGAGUAAGCUGACCCCGAUUACGCUUCCCGCUGAAUUGCAACUGACGCCAGUCCACUUACAAUGAUCGGACGUGUAGUUGCCCGACGUCGCCCAAUUGUUGACCCACCAGCCGGUAGCAAGUAAAGCUUCCCUUUCUAACAGUAUGGGUGACGACAAUAAUCUUGCAGCUGAUGCCGUUACAGAUAUUGUCGUAUCACUUAUAGCACCAACAUUUAUUAAAAUUAAAAUGACCACCAAUCUCGAAACAGUGGAUGCUGCUGCCAUGUUUAUAAUGGUUUUCGGUUGAUUGAGCUGGCUAUUUGAUUCCUUGCAAAGCGUUUAUAUAAGAAUUAAUUGUUUUGCAAGCUCCCGGUGUUAACUUCCAAUACGCGUUUUCAAAUAGUGUGAGUCAAUGUCUUCUCUGGAUGGAUUCAAUCAUGGAGAUAUAACCUUAUCGGCUUGUAUUUGUGAGGUGUAGAUCUAUUUGAACAACUUUGCAGAAACAUGAG